GCAUCCUAUACUGCAUGGCCAACUUCAGAGAGCUAAAAGAAGCUCUUAUUGAAUACAUGAUAGAUAAUGUCCCACUGACCCUUUUACUCUGAUACCUUGAAAUGAGAAAUUUGGAGGUUUUCCACAUCAAGCUUCUUGAAAUUAUUGCGCCUUCUCGUAACAAAGAACUUUCCCCAGUUGUAUGCUCUAUACUUUGGCUUUUCCCCCUUCGUCAGCUCCUCCAAGGGCUUCACCCAAACAUGGUGCCCGGGACUCAAAACGAACGGAAUCGAGAACCUUUACCUCUCUGAAUUCUCCAUCACCCUGUGCUCCACACUUUCAUAAGUAUCGUUGCUCCAGACCUGGUUUAAUAUCAGUAGAAUUAGCCAAAUGAGUGUAAAAUUCCUUGAGCCAAACAGUACUGAUAAGCAUGUACUUAUAAUUCAAAGUUCUUGGGUGGUACCUGAACUAUAUCCCCAACAUUGAUGAUAUAAGCAUCUGGGGUGGGCUUAACUCGAACCCAUUCUCCAUCGGUUUUUCGAUUUACUUCCAACCCUCCAACAUCAUCCUGAGCAAGGAAAGUUAAGGCUCCGGAAUCCUUGUGGCGACCAACGCCCAGAGCUAGGUGAGGAAUGGAGCAAGGUGGGUAGUGAUUGAGGCGGAUGAAGUUUGUUGAUUCUUCAUUCAGGGAUUAUUUCAUCCCUUUUAACCAAAUAUUUAACAUGAUCAAAGACUAUUCCCUAAAUGAAGGCAUACUGUAGCAAAUACCCUUAAUCUGAACAUUGAAAGUACAACUUAAACUAGUAUCAAACACUCUGUUUUUAAACCCAUAGCUACUCCAAAUAUCCCAAAUACUCUUUUCUAUGUAACCUCUCUUUGUCUCUUUCUCGCUCACACACACAUGCUUCCCCACAAAAAUACAUACACACAUAGAGAAGAACACAAUCUCUUAUCCGAUUCCCUUCCGAUUUAUGAUUCUAAGCUGGCGGGUCACUCUCUUAUUCUUUUGCUUUCUUGCGAUGGAGCUCCAUGCUCUCCUUUCCUCAUUUUUUUUCUUGGAUAAAUACUCUAUAAAACAUCCUCUCUCGAUGCUCUAUCUAAACUCACUUGCUCAUUUCACAUUUUUUUCUUUUUGGAUGCUUUCUUUAUGCUCCCAGGCAUAUGCCAGUUUUUUAUGACUAUUUUUGAAGUUGGGAUUCAGAAUUCACUAAAAUCUUUUCUCAAACUUGGAUUUUUCUCAACUCAACCCUAACUUCUUUUCUAUCAGUACCAAGGCUAGAGAAUAUAGUUUAUACCCUUGUAUUUCGUUAUGUACCAAGCCCACAAGAUGAUCAAUAAGUUUCUCUCUAGAUUUUACAUUGGAGUUGAUUGAUGACAUACCCUUAUUAGGUACUAUAUUCUCUUCCUUAGGUAUUGCUUUUUCCUUCCUUAGAUACUACCUUUGCAACCUUGGGUGCACGAUCGAAUCCAUCGUUUCAUGGCCACUUCAAGUAAGUCAGGAACUUAUGUACAUGUGUGCUACAUGUCUUAUAGGUAUUACCUUUACAUUCUGUAGGUACUACCUUUACCUUCCAUAGGUACAAAUAUGAUUAAUAAUAAGAAUUUUAACAUAAAAAAGGGAAAAAUCAUGUCUGAUAAUAAAAUUGCAUAUAUUUUCUUUCUUGCUUUUUUUUUUUUUUUUGGGUCUUUGCUUUGGUUUUUAUUUAUGUGUUUGUUUCUUUUAGUCUUUGUGUGUGUGUGUGUUUUAUUUUAUUUUAUUUUUUUCAUCCCUAUGCAGAAGAUGUAGAGGAAGCAACAUCACAUCAUAAGGUGCAUUUUUCUGUUCAUUUAAGCCUAAAGGUUCUGGAUUCACAAAAUGGUGGGAACUAAGGGUGAGAAACUGGAAAAAAAAAUGUUGGAUUGAGCUACAUUUGAUCAAUAGUGAAUUUGCAAAAAAGAUUGUAGGAGAGGUUUCUUGAGGUGGACAAGGUCAGAAGCAAGGAGCCUUUUCCUAGUUUUUGGGAAGAACUUAUUGUUAACGUGUGAAUUCAUUAAGGGUAAUUUAUGUAAGAUUUUCUAGAUUUUGCAAGUGAAUGCACCUUAGCUUUUCCUAUUGUAUUUGUGUUUUUUUAGGUUGAUUAUUUUAUUGAUCGUCACCACUCAAGGAAUGGAAGCAAUAGGGUCUCUAGAUGUACUGCGUAAAGGCGGGCAUACAGGCGUUGUUAGGAAUGUGUUUCCCAUGUCCAACAAGCAUAUUGACACCACCUAAAGCCAAGGCAUCUUUGGACGAGGAGUUCUAGCUUCUACUUCUGUGGACUUUGUAGAUGUCGUCUGGCUCUUCUAAAUAUUUAUUGUUAUGUAGUAGUUAUACACAUGUACUUUGUUUAAGUGAAUUGAUUAUUGGAUUUUUAGUUAAAUCAAAUUUAAGGGUAUGUUGUUUAAUUUACUAGUGAUCUCUUGUUUGUAAUUCUCGUUAUCAUAUAUAAAUCUUUGUUAGCAUUUUCCAAUUUCCUCAAUAGCAACUAUAUUAGUUUUCAGUGGAAUGAAUCUUGAGUAACUUGUAGUAUCAUUUUUGGUUUUGAAUUGACUAAUCUGUUUUGGAAGGAUGAAUUAGAUAUAUGAGCUUGAUUGCUAACAGUAGUUGAGUUUGUUUUGAUCUCGGGAUAUUUGCCUUGUUGAAUAGGACGUAGAUUUUGGGUCCAAAGAGUUGAAAAUUGAUGAGCUUAACCAAGACAUAGGAGAACCACAUGCAACACUAACCAGAGUUCCUACAACAAGCUAAUAACCAUGAUUUAGAAAUGUGAUUUCGUUAAAGGGAAGCAUUUCUAAUCUUAUUUGAAAGGAAACUUUGAUGUCUUCCCUAAUACACUAGAAUAUUAAUUUAAAAACAACAAUUAAGGUUAUAUUAACUAUUAUAAUAAUUUAUAAAUUAUAUAAAUAUGAUAAUAACUAUUAAAAUGAAAGUAUUAAAUGUAAAAAAGUUUAAUCUUGUUGGGUAAAAACUUCAUCAAUCUUUUAUUAUUGAACUUCUAUUAUAUAAUCAAACAUAGUGAUGAUCCUCGGUUGGAUUAAUCAACACUUGUUUCAUAAAUUGAACAACAUAUAACAUGAUCAACCAUAAACAAACAAGUAAACAUCAUACUAGAUAAAACUAUCUCUUAAGAUUUCUAUUAUUACAUGUUUAAAUUACAAAUCAUAUUUUUGCAACUUUCGUAAAAUUAUGCAAUAGAUAUGAUUAAAAUUACGAAACAUCGGAAAUGUAUAUUGAUUCAUUAUUCAGAUUCAUCAUAUCAUAUAUAUCCUUUAGUAGUCCAUAAGAUCAAAUAAUAACCAAAAUUCAAAAAAUAUGUUUUAUGAUCCAAAAUUGAUUGACACUAAUAUCAUUUGUUAAAUAAACUUUAUGUGAAAUAAUUAUUUUGGAAAAUCAAUUUGGAUGCAUAAUGCAUAAUAGGUAUAAGAAAUAAAGAAAUGACAAAAUAAUAAUUAUAUUCUUGUCUUAAUCCAUGAUACUGAUAACACUUGUAAUGUGAAUUUGAGUCAUUUUGUGAAUUGUUGGGUCAAGGUCUUCAACUCACCAUUCUCAUUUAGUAGAUGAGUCAAUUGUGUGGUAUAUGUUGUUAUAAGUAAAACAACUAAAAACAUAAGAAUGCAAUGUGACUUAGGACCUUAACUUUAUAAAAAAGAUUUAUAACUCUUAAUAUUCUCAUAAAAGAUUAUAUGAAAGUUAUACUCAUUAUUUAUAAACAUUAUACACAGAUUAAUGGACAAUGGUAAACUACCAACUUGAAUACAUUCAUGUAAUUGUAUAAAUUACACUUUUUCAUCUUCCUCUAUUAGUCAUAAACUUUAUGUACAAAUGAAAUCUCAUAAAGAUGGAGUUACACAAGUUGUAAUACCAUAUUCUUAUAAAUGAAAUUUUUCUAACUCUGUAUUUAUAAUUUUAAUCUUCUAUGUUAGAAGUUGAAUUUGUUCCACGUCGCCAAGUUAUUGGGUUAUUAUGUUGUUCAUAUAUGUAGAUUGGUCACCUCUCCAAGCUAGCUUUUGGGAAUGAAUUCUAUUCAAACCCAUUUAACAUGGUAUCAGAGCUUGGUUUGACUGUGGGUUGUGGGUUCGAGCCACCUCUCUGCAAUUCGCAUGUUUGUUCCUUAUUUGCAUGUUUGGAAGUCUAGAAAAGGUUAUUUGCAUUUGUUUGUCUCUUCACGUGUGGAUAUGGGACCACACAUAAGAGAGGGUGUUAAAAAGCUUGAUAUGUACGUAUAUUGAACCUAAAUCUUAUAAGUUUAAGCUUUUAGGAAAAUUAGUAAUUCAACAUUCUAUACAUAAAAUUAUUUGAUGUCCAAUCAAUUGAUUCACCUACCUAUCAAUUAAUAUACUUUUAAAUAAAAUAUAUUUCAAUCCAUUACACAAAUAUAAUUAAAACAAAAUACUAUAGUAAUGUGAGUAUGUGAUAAAUAAAUAAAAUAAAAAUAAUCACGUGUUACAUGUAAACUAUAUUCAAAGGAAAAACCCACUAUUAAACAAUCCAUUGUAUAAUGAUCAAUUACAAAGACCAAGUAUUACCAAACUUAAAAGUAUCUAAAUCAUACUCACUUUGCACAUUUUCUUUAUACUUGGAUCCUUUAAACACAUUUAUCCCAAUGUGGAUGCAUCUUGAGUUCUAAUCAAGGAAAUCAACCUUUGAGUAAAAUUUUCAUCAAGUUAAAGUCUCUUUAUAUCAUUGAGAACCAUAUCAAGAUUUCUUUUUGUUGGUUGCUUUCAAAGUCCCACUAGAAUUAGAAUGAACAUUUUAUAAAUUCUAGGACUUUAACAUAUGAAUUCUUCAAUGAGUCAAUCAAAUAUUAAAUUUUAUCUCCAUAGAUGGACCUCAAUGAAUUUUUCAACAAAUUAAAGGUGUUAACACUAAUUUCAUAUUAGAAAAAAAAAAAAAAUCAUGUGACACAUAUUGAUAUAUAUAUAUAUAUAUAUAUAUAUAUAUAUAUAGGUGUUGUCUGGGAUAAAUAGAUUGAAUUCAUGAGAAAAUUAUUCUUAAUUUUGUAAAAAUUAUAUAUAUAAGAAAGUUUUUAGACUUACUAAAACACAUUACUAAUCAAGUGGUAAUAUUUAUAUCUCAUUAUUUUGUAAUCAAGUCUCAUUCAUUUGUAUCACAUAUGAGUCCUAUUAUUUUAUACCUUACUCUUAUUAUAUUGUACUUUGAUCUUAUUUGUUUAUACAUCGAUUUCAUUUCUUUAUAUGUUCAUCAUAUUUAUUUAUAUCUCGAUCUUAAUUAUUUAUAUCUUUCAAUAGUUUAGAUUUCAAUACAUAUUUUUAAAUAUUUUAAUUGGAAAUUCAAUAUCUUACUAUUUUUCUAAAUAGCUACCUAUAAUCCUUUGUAGACUCAAAAUUCACUUCAAGCCAUCAAAAAAAUCGACCUCUCUUUGUAAGUUGCUAUACUCAUUGCUAAACUAUAAUUCCAAAAAUAGCAGAACUUUUCAUACUUAUUCUAGGCAAUUAGAGUCGAGAUGUUCCAGGCAUAUACCAUUGUCUUUCAAGAUUUGAAAGAAAUGUUACGAUUUCAGCAUGAAAUAAUGCAUGUCGAUUAACAAUAUUGCUCAGAUUCUUUAGGCAAAGGUCCCAGCCUAGAGAUUGAUAAUGUUUCUUUGAAGCAAAAUGACAAAAUGGAAUAACACAAGAAAGCCAGAACCAAUUAAGUGUCCACAGACAAAAAAAUUUAUUUAUUUAUUUUCUGAACCACCCCUGAAAUUGACACCUCCCAUACAGUCUGCAUUUCUGUGGCACUAUUUCCCUUAUUCCUAACCAUAAAUCUGCUGCCAUCUCAAUAAUUCACAUCCUUAUCCACUCCUUAUCUAGGGUUGUAACACUUUUUUCAAAAAGAUUUUUUUUUUUUUUUUUCUAAGGGGUGGAUAAGGGUCCUGAGACAAGCUGUGGAAUAAUUAUAAACCCACUUGGGUAAUGGUUUCAUUGUCAGGGUAAUACUAUUUAAGGUGAAAAUCAGCUGGGUCUAUCAUUCUUGUUUCCAUAUGACUGUUUCCAAGGAUAACUCAACCUUCAAAUCCAUCGAGCAGUCAUAUAAAAAUACACGCAGAUUUCAUAUUUUGAAGCUUGUCCUGUGUUCAGAUCGGAUAACUCACUCAUAUGCCUAAUCACCAAUCGCCAACUUGAGCGUAAAAAAAGCGUGGGGCGAUAUUAUUUGUAUAUGGGUUUGACUGUUUGAGAGAGAAAGGUGGGGUGUCCCUUGGAGGAGUCCAAAGGCCAUUUUUGAACCUGCCUUUGAUUAUCGCCAUGGCAAAUCAACAGCUUGUAGUGUAUAUAUAUAUAUAUAUAUAUAUUAAUGGAGACCAAGACUCAAAUAGAGAGAGAGACGCGGGAUGCGAUAAAGAGAACAGUAUAGCCAAGAGUAUAUAAGCAUUUCUAUUGCUGUAAUGGUGAUUCAGAGACUGGAAAUGUGUAUAUCACUGCUGAAAAUGGCAGUAGAGUUUGUGCUUGUUUUCGCGGAGGCAGUCGGGCUAGUCAUCAACCACAAUGCCACGCCGCUUUUGGCAAACUCAGCCUCAGUUGGCAAUGAUGUUUCUGUCCCUUUUAUCGGUUUUCUUCUUUGAAUUCUUCGUCUUGUAGUUUCCUUCCUUAGCAGAAUGCCCAUUGGCCAUUGUAUACGUUGAGGUUUCAUUUUUGUCUUGAUAGAUUUUGCCUUGGAAAGUGUCUGUACUACCAGCUAAAAGAUGUGAAUGUUUGAUAGGAGAGAGUACAUAUAACAUCUUUGUAAACUUCGAUUAAUUUUGGUUCUGGGUGAGCUUCAUCUUCUGCAAAUUCAUUUGCUGGUAGCUUUGGAAAUGAAUCUUCAGUGGUUUGGGUGGUGAUUAUUUGCUUGCUUCACACGAUUUUAUGUGUUGUUCCUUUGGUAAUAAUCUUGUUGGAUGGAUCAAGGAGGAGCGAUGAUCAGGAAAAUAAAGUCGGGAGAAAGAAAAGAUAUAAUGAUGAUUAAGAAAGGCUUUAAUAUACUUGCAAGAUCAGGAAAAAAUAUUUCUUGGUUAAUCAAUUAUUUUCUUGCUUGAUAUGGGUUUGAUACUUUUUGUCAAUUGGUGAUCAUUCUGGGAAGAUCAGGAAGAAGAAAAUGGGGUCUAGAUGAAGAAAAGCUAUAAUGGUGAUUAUUAAUUGAAAUCAGAUGAAAUAAAAGUCUGUUUCCAUCAUUCUUAAUAGGGUUUCAUAGUCCCCGCAGGACUUUAGUACUCAUCAAACUCAUAAAUUUUGAACAACUUUGAGCUAACCUUCUGCAUUAAUUUGGUGCAUCUGCGCAGUUGCAGAGUAUGAACACCCACAAAAUCUUAAUAUGAAUCUUUUGGGGCAAUAGCUUCUAUAUAUGAUGGAUGAUAAGAACAAAGCAAAUCUUGGGUUCUCCAUGGCCACGAUCAUUUAUCCGCCAUAUAAAAUGCAGAUUUUCCUAACACCAACCCCUUAUUUUAAUAAAGUCAAGUUAUUUUAAGGCCCCCAUUAUUAGACAUGCCCUAGAAGCAUUGGGUCUGUGAUUAAAAAAAUGUAGUAAUAUCAUUUAAAAUAUCUAACACUGAAAUUUUGAUAAUUUUGAAUGUCAUAGUGUGGAUUUGAAGAAAGAAAUCGUAUCCAAGAUCUCUUCCUUUUCCUGGGAAACAUUAGUCUUGGUCAAUUAUGAACUGUUACACGUUACCUAUCAUGAUCAUAUUUAUAUUAGCUUUGAUUUCUAUGGGGGUUAUAAUUUAUUUGUAUGCUAAUCAUAGAGGUGAUACAUGUGAUCCACAUGUCAUAUUUGGACUUGGAACCAAUCAUUGGAUUCCUUUGAUGAACUGGCAAUGGAAGAAUACUAAUUGCUCCGGUCCCUUUCUUUUUUCAACGUAGGAUGAUCAGGUCCUUUGAUCUCUUCCACACCCACUGGCUGUUUUUCUUUGUUCCUUUUUCAAUCAUCCAUAGCUGAAAAGCCUUGAUGCCCUCCUUGACUUUCCCAAGAUAAAACACCUUAUCUUCACUUUCUUUCUUUUCCCUUUAAAUUUGAUUUUAGAUCUGAAAUCCAGGGCUUAUGACCCUGUAGAAGAAAGACAGAUAUGAAGCUUGGGAUGAUUUGAACUUCAGUUUGAUUUUCUGCACACUGUUUAAAACUCCUGAAAUAUAGUUGUAUAUUGCAAUACAUUUAUAAUUGAUACAACUGAACCAUGAUGUUUCUAUUAGUAAAAAUUUCUUUGAAUCAAUCCACAGUUCAAAGUACCAAUUUCAAUUGAAACUUUUUUCUUUUCCUGCUUAUUCAAUUGUUUCGUUUUCCACAUAAUGGUAUGACAACAUCAAGAAUACUUCUCAGCAAUUGCCUGCAGGUGAACCCAAAGCUCUUUUGGCUGAGACAUCAUGACCAUGUGAUCAGAUCCUUUAAUCUCUUUAACAGCAUCAGGUGGGUUUUCUUCGAUCAUCCAGAGUUGAAAAUCCUUUUUCGCCAGCUUGUCUUCCUCAGAAAUAAUAAAGACACGUUUAACCGAGGCAUAUUUCUUCGACAACAUGAGAUCCUUUGACAUGUCUUCUUCACUGAACAAGCGUAAGGGUCUCAUCAACAUAGUCCCUAGUGCCAAGUCCUGGAAAAUUUGUGCCCAAAAUGAUAUAACAACAACAAUGAAAAGUCUCAUGAUUUUGGCUGUAAGGCCUGAAUUAAUGAAGUUCUCACCUCAGUUGGGCUCAACUGAUACACAUUCAGUGAUGAGAACAAGGGGCCAAAGGUGAAAGUGGUGGGAGGAUUGUUGGGGCCAUUAUCAUAUGUGAACUGGCUGUCUAGUAGAGGACCUUGUCUCCUGAGUGACUUCAAUAAGAAGUAGAAACCAGGCUAAAAGUCAGAAACAGGGGAAGCCUUCCCCUCUUAAUCAACAAGUAAAUUUCUGUAAAAGAAAAAUAGUAUGUAUGAAGUACCUCUUGAUUGAGAGUGGAAAUGUUGAGAGUGGGACCAGGCAUUGAGGCAGUAACAAAAACAGCUACAGAAACCUUUUCUGGGAACUUCUCCAUGGCCUGAGAAAUGGCCAACCCACCCAAGCUGUGUCCAACGAGAACCACCCUUUCAUCUGCAGGGAGUGACUCCAUGAAGUCCCUCAGUGGCUGGAAAUACUCAGAAAUAGAUCGCAGAUCACCCACUUGUUUUGGGUUAAUUCCAGAAGCAGCCAAGUCCAGAGCAGUGACUUUGUGGCCAGAUGAUUUUAGUAGUGCCACAAUCUUGUACCAAGACCAGGCACCAUGGCAAGACCCAUGAACUAGAACAUAGUGCUUGACGGGAUUAGCCUGUCUCCCCUCUGAUGCCAUUGAAUACACUGAAGAAACAAGAAAAAUCAGAAAGGAAACUAAAAUCGUAUGCUUCUUCCUUUCCUGCGUACUCCUUUCCUGUUACAGAGAUGGUCAGCACCCAAGCAUUUUAAAGGGCACAAUUGGCUUUCACUACAACUACUAAUCUAAUGGAUUAAAAUUUUUCCUGUGAAAUUGACUCUAGAAAUAAAAUAAGGAUUAAGGAUUCAAGAAUAUGUACACAUAGACUGCCAGGGUUUAAAAGAUGACACAUGCACCUGCGUCACACUCUUUUUCAAUGAUAAAGAAGUUAUGCAAAGGAAGAAAGAAUGAAAUAUACAGAGUCUAGUAGUUAACUCCUCCCCUUGAAUUCUUCUGUUGCCCGGAUUGGUUUGUAACUGCAAACAUUUUCUUUUCCCAAUGUGAUCUGUGGAUUGAGUUCUGAUCUCAAUUUGUUUUUGGCAUUUUUGGUUUUGCUUCUGCAAAUCUUGAGAUGUAUCUUUCAAUUAAUAUAAGUAAGUUAUGCAGUAAAGGUUUUUGGACAUAUAAAAUGUUAGCCAAACCUUUCCCAUGGCGGGUUGAAGGUACUUUGGGGUAGGCUUGGUCACGCUUGAUACCUCAAUCGGACUGAAACAUGAUGUUUUCACCCAUUUGAAUUGGUCAAAGCUGUGUUGACUGGCAUGAUUCCUUUAAUAAAGAAGUUGUUUUUGGAUUAAGGCCUACAACACCAAUUUCACUUAAAUACAUCUAUUUAAUAAUUAUGUAUUAACAUAAUUAUAAUCAAUUGAGUCGAAAACAAUUAAAUUAAAAAGUUAAUUAUAUUGACUUAAAUAAAAUCUGACUCAACCAGAUUAUUAAAUAAAUUACUCAACUUAUUACAUGUUUAAUAAUUAAGUCGUAUUUGGGUUUAUACUUUUAACUCAAUUAUUAUUCAUGUUAUAUUUGUGUUGACUUAUUAAGUCACAGUAUCUAAAUUUAAUUUGAUAUGACAUGAACACUACCCACCAACAUUAAUUGUAUCCCCUGUUUUAAGUUCCGGUGGCAUCAUGAGUUUGGCCUCUGUUUUGAGUGUUGAAUUAACCUUUCCCAUGGUUGUCAAGUUCUUCAUAAAUUAUUGGUGAUUGUAAUAAUUUCCUCAUAAAUUAAUGGCGCUAUAUGCUUCUUUAGGAUCCAUUGAUCUUACUAAUUCUCUUCCUGGUAUGGGAAGAAAAUGACUCUUCCAUUAAUGCAGCAUGCAUUGCUACUUAUUUAUCAAGCAAAUUACAUUAUUAUUUUCACACCAAACCUCCAAAUUCAUCAUGUACUUAUCCUAUAUACUACAUGGUGAACUUUAGAGAGCUAAAACAAGCUCUUCUUGAUUAAAGAUAGAUAAUGUCCUAUUGACCUUUUUACUUUGAUGCCUUGAAAUGAGAAAUUUGGAUGUUUUCUACAUCAAGCUUCUUGAAAUUAUUGUGCUUUCUCGUAGUAAAGAAUUUUCCCAAGUUGUGUACUUUGGCUUUUCCCCCUUUGUCAUCUCCUCCAAGGGUUGCACCCAAACACGGUGUUCGGGAUUGAAAAAGAACGGAAUCAAAAACCUUUCCCUCUCUGAAUUCACCAUCACCCUAUGCUCCACACUCUCAUAAGUAUCGUUGCUCCAUACCUGAUUUAAUAUCAAGAUAAUUAGACAAAUGGGUGUGUAAAAUUCCUUGAGCCAAACUGUACUGAUAAGCAAGUACUAAAGACGAUACAGGCUUUGAGAGUUAAAGGUCGUUCUUUCUAUAAAUCAAGGCAAUAAGUAUAUAUACAACAUACAACAUAGUUGCUGUUACAGGCUUACCAAAUUAAUUCCACAAUAAAGGAAACUAUACAUGGUUGGUUACCAAAACAAAAAUAGGAGAUUAGCUAUACAUAUUACUAAAAUAUAGGAUUUGAUAAAGAUUGAAGUGGACUUUCAAAUGAACCAUUUUCCUUAUCAUGACCCCUCAAGAUAGACUUCGAUUGAAUGCCUAGCUUGACGCACAAGUGUUGUAGAUGAGCUAAGGAUUGUGGCUUUGUUAAGGCAUCAACAAGUUGAUCCGCGAAAGCAAAAUGAGGCACGCGAAAAGUGUAAUCUUGAACUCACAAAAUGAAAAUAAAUAGCAAUAUGCUUCAUCCAAAAUGUAAAAUUAGGUUGGCGCAUAAGUAGGUGGUACCGACAUUAUCACAAUAGAUUGGCAUGGGUUUGGGAACUGAAAUACCCAACUCAAGUAAUAGGGAGUUAAGCCAAAGAAGUUUGGAAGAAGUUGUAGCUACAACAUGAUACUCUACCUCAGUUGAGGAACGGGCAACAAAUGUUGCUUCUUUGAACUCCAAGAAAUGACAUUAUGACCUAAAAACACAACAUGAGCACUAGUUAAAGUACGAUCAUCACGAUCACCAAUCCAAUCUACAUCGGAGAAGGCAUGAAGGCUAAGAGGGGAUCCUUUUCGAAGAAACAAACAAUGAUGCGUUGUACCUUUAAGAUAACGGAGAAGAUGUUUGAGUGCCAACCAGUGAGUGGUAGUAAGUCUAUGCAUGAAUUGAGAGAGUUUAUUGAUUGAGAAAGCAAUGUUUGGUUGAGUGAAGAAGAGGUACCGAAGACCACCAACAAUAGAUCGAUACUUAGUCGAAUUGGUCAAGGAUGUGCCAUCCACAAGGCUAGGUAUCUGAGAUGUUGACAUAGGAGUUGUGAAUGACUUGGAAUCCAUCAUUUUUGUGUGCUCCAAAAGAUCUAAAACAUAUUUGUGUUGAGAAAGAAAGAGACCAAAUGAGCUUGGAAUAACUUCAACCCCUAAAAAAUAAGAGGCAACACCUAAAUCUUUAAUGGAGAACCGAGUAGCAAGUGUGUGAACAAAAUGAUUGAGAGUACCAUCAUCAUUGCUAGUAACAAUAAUAUCAUCAACAUACACAAGUAGGAAAAUGGUAAAUAGAGACUUCUUAUGGAUGGACAAUGAAGUGUCAAAUUUGGGGUAGAAACUGCUUCACAAACCCUUGAUGGAGUAGAAACUGCUUCAGUUCUUGAUACAAGGCACAUGGUGCUUGUUUGAGGCUAUAAAUAGCUUUCUUAAGAUGACACACAUGGCUUGGAAACUAAGGAUCAACAAACCUUGGUGGUUGAGCCAUAAACACAUUUUUGGCAAAAGUCCCAUGAAGAAAAAGCAUUGUUCACAUCAAGUUGACAAAGUGACCAAUUGAAGGAAAAUGCAAGACUAAGAAUGAGUAGACCAGUAGUAGGUUUCACAACCGGGCUGAAUGUCUUAGCAUAGUCAAUACCAGGGAGUUGAUGAAAACCCUUGGCGACAAGAGGAGCCUUGUAUUGAGCAAUAGAGCCAUCAGGAUUGCGUUUGAUUCGGAAAAUCCAUUUGCAACCAACUAGAUUCUGUGACUUAGUAGAAGGAUUCAACUCCCAUGUGCCAUUAUGAAGAAGAGCAUCAAAUUCUUCAAACAUAGCUUAACACCACUCAAGAAGCUUUAAAGUUUGGGUAACAUAGGCAGGUGCAACAUCAGGAGUGGUAGAGACAAAAGCAUACUUGGUGGAUGGUUUGAAGACAUUAUUCUUGGAUCUUGUAACCAUGGGAUGGGUGUUGAGGGUAGGGGGUCGAGUGGGUGGGAUGGGGGAAGGGGUAGGAUGUGGGGUUGAAAGCAAGAUUGGGCUUGGAGGGAAACUAUGUUGGGAUUGUGUAGUCUCAGCAUUGGGGGGUAAUAUAAUUGACUGGCCAGCAAGAGUGGUAUCAUGAAUGGUCGAAUGCUUAACUGGAGUGGUACCUAAGAUUGUAUUGUCCUGUGAUGAGGGAAUUGAUACGAGAGGGAAUGGAAUAGAUGGGACUAUGGUGGGUGGAGGUUUCUCGGCAGUUGAAGAAAAGAGGACCAUUAUCUCAACAAAGGUGACAUGAUGAGAGGUGAAUAACUUGUGGGAAACUCGAUCAAGGCAAAGGUAUGCACUUUGUGUAAGAGAGUAACCUAAGAAGACACAUGGACGAGAUUUGGAUUGAAGUUUGUGGUCAUUAUAUGGGAGUAACUAAGGAUAACAAAGACAACCAAACAUUCAUAAUUUGUCAAGAAUUAGGUUUGUGAUUGAAUAAUUUCUCAUAGGAAGAGAGGAAUGAGAGGUUUGGUUUAAGCAUUCGAUUAAUAAGAUAGACUAUAGCUUAAAAGGCAAAGGGCCAAAAAGAAGUAGGAAUGGAUGCAUGAUGGAAAAGGAUGAGUCUGGUUUUGACAAUGUGUCUAUGAUGACGUUUGGAGUAACCAUUAUGCUUAGGAGUAUGAGGUGGGGUGGUGAGAUGAGUAAUGCUAGCAAGAGCAAAAUAAUCUUUUAACGCUAGAAAUUCACCACUAUUGUCAUAAUAGAUUUGAAUUAUUUUGGAACUGAAGUAGUUUUCAACUAGAGCUUUAAAUCGAACAAAAACAUCAUAGACAUUAGAUUUCUUUUGAAGUGGAUAUAACCAGACAUAUUUGGUGAAGUGAUCGACAAAGAUAACAUAGUAUUUAAAGUUAUCAUUUGAUACAAUGGGAGAACUCCAAACAUUUGAGUAAAUAGUUUGUAAAUGAGAUGAACUUGUAAUAGAUGAUGUAGAGAAAGGUAGUUUAUGACUUUUAUUGCACUUACAAGAAUUACAAGCAAAAGUAGAAAUAUCAUUAGAUGAUAAAGAAUGACUCUUAGAGGAAACUAAAUAUUGAAGAACUUUGGAAGAGGGAUGACCAAGUCGAUGAUGCCAAUUUGGAAGUGAAGUCUUAACAUUGGAAAAUACAAUCAAAGGUUUUUUCGUAGUAGGAGAAUUCAACCAUACAUAAAAACCACCACUAUAGAAUAUAGAAUAUAAUUUUAUAUUUAAUUAAUUUUGCAUUUAAAUAAUAUAUGAUAAAGAUAUUACUUUUAUAUUUAAAUAAUAUAAGAUGGUAAUGAGAUAAAAAUGAAUGUUUUUAUGGUUAUAGGAAUAAAGAAAAAUAAAAUAAAAAAGAUUUCAAUUACUUAAUUAAUAGUAAUCCUAAUUUAAUUUCAAUUAAUAUUAAUCUUAUUUAUAUCUUUCCUUUCUUGAAUAUACCAUAAAAAGAUUUAAGUAGUAAAUAAAUACAUGGGUAGAAGGAUACAUCCAGUCAUGAGGUGUACCUAUAUAUUAAUUUUAUAUUUAAAUAUUAUAGAAUAUAAUUUUAUAUUUAAUUAAUUUUGCAUUUAAAUAAUAUAUGAUAAAGAUAUUAGUUUUAUAUUUAAAUAAUAUAAGAUGGUAAUAAGAUAAAAAUGAAUGUUUUAUGGUUAUAGGAAUAAAGAAAAAUAAAAUAAAAAAGAUUUCAAUUACUAAAUCAAUAGUAAUCCUAAUUUAAUUCCAAUUAAUAUUAAUAUUAUUUAUAUCUUUCCUUUCUUGAAUAUACCAUAAAAAGAUUUAAGUAGUAAUCUGGGAUAGAUAUUAAUUUUAUAUUUAAGAAAUAUAGGAUAUAAUGUAGAGAAUAGAGAUACACAAACAUAUUUUAUAUUUAAGUAGUAAUCUUCAUGAGCUUUACACAAACAAAAAACUUAGAUGUUUACAUCAUCUAGAAGCCCCACUUCGCCUCUCUCUCAGCCCUCAGCCCUCAGGCUUAAGAAGUUGUCAUGAGAAACCUAACACAAACCUUUCUUAUAAUUAUUGUUCAUAGUCGUAGCUACCAAGAAUUCCAAGUUAGGAAGAAAAAAAGAAUCAUAAAUACAGCAAAAAUAACUUCCACUACAUGCGGCAGCAGGGGUACCAAAUUAGGGAAAUUAAGAAGUAAACCAUGCCCAAUCAAUUGCUGGGAAAUAUUAUUUGGAUAUCAAAUUAGGGAAGCUAUUAAGUGUGGUUUUUGUAGUGUUAAAUCAGAGAGAAAUUUAAUUAUAUUAUGAAUUUCAAAUUUAAUUAUUCUAAGAACAAUGAAUUACUCUAAUAGAAUUUAAUGUAUAAAAACAUUUCAAACACUCGCAACAUAUAUCAUUUUCAUUUUUUCCAAAAGCACCAAAACCCUAUAACAAUGAAAAUAAACCCAAUAACAAUGGAAAUAAACCAAAUAACAAUGGAAUCUCAAACCUAAUCACAAACAUUUCCAAAAUACCAACUAACAAAACCCAAAAAAAAAAAAAAAUUCCCAAAACUCACCAAAACCUAGAGAGAUGAUUUUCACGGGAGUUUCUUGGAGGUGGCUUCAGCUUUACCGACCAUAGCUUCCAUGGGGCUUCUUCAGCAUGGCUUCCAUAAGCUUUUUUUGACAAUAGCUUCCUCCAAGCAAUGGGGGUUGUGGGUAGGUUUUGUGGGUUUUAUGGCCGUGGGUUUUGGAGAGGAAGAGAAAAUGGGUUGGCAGGAGAGAGAAAGAAAGGCUUUAUAUUCGAUUAGGAAAGUGAUGUGGCCGUGGGGUAUACCCACAUGGUUAAAAGAAAGACAUUUUUCCAUUAGAAAAAAAUGUCUCAUGGCUUUUUUUAUUGUUAUUGUUAUACCCAAAAAAAAUAAUUUAAUUUUAUUGUUAUACCCUAAAAUUUUUUUAUUGUUAUUGUUAUUGUUCUGUGUUCAGAACUAUUAAUUUAAAAAGUUUUUCAAGUUUUAAAAUUAUCAAAUUUUUAAAAUUUACAAUUAUUUUAAAAUUUUAAAUUUACAAUUAUUUUUAAAAUUUUAAAUUUAAAUUAAUUUUGAAAGUUCAAUGUUUUACUCAAAGUGUUAUUCUAAAAUUUUUAUUAAGUUUUAUCAAGUUUUUUAAGUUUUAAAAUUAUCAAGUUUAAAAUUUAAAAAUUUUAUAUAAAUACAAAGAAUAAUUAAAAAUAAAAUAUAACAUAUAAAUGUUAUUUUUUAAAACAUAUUUAAAAACAUAAAAAAUAUAUAUUAAGAAUAUUUUAGGUUUCUAAAUCAACUUUUAUUUUAAAAUACAUCGGCAAAAAAAUUUUUAAAAAUGUUUUAAAAAACCGUUUUUUGUAUAAUUGUUUAUGAAAAUGUCAAAAUACUUCACAAAUAAACCAGUUCGAGUCCCCUCAGGGCCUCGUGGGAUUAGUCGAGAUGUGCUUAAGCUGGUCCGGACAUCCACGGUUAUAAAUAAAAAAUAAAAAUAAAAAAAUAAAAAAUACUUCACAAAUAAAACUAUAAUUUAUUGGUAUUUUUGUGGGCCUUAGGUGUUAGGAAAUGUUAUAUGUGCAUCCUACUCCUACUCUGUCUUCAUUAUUUUCAGUCCCUUUAUAUCUUAUACCAAUCUACUAUUAUUUUAUCAUAUGGUAUCAGUUUUUCAUAUUUGAUGAUAUUAAUUUCUACCUUAUCCCAUAUGCUUGUAGCUUAAUUUCAUUAUACAUUUGGACAACAGAAUUUCAGACUUCCAUUUGGUACUAAAUAUAAUAAACAUAAACAGAGAAUGAUGCAUUUAAGAAUAUUUUUCCAUGAAUUUUAACUUUAUAAAUUUGUUAAUUUUACAAAUUUAAGAAUUAUAAAAGUUUAGAACUUUUAUUUUUAAUCAUAAACAGAGGAUGUUAUUUUUGUAGUUAUAAAUUGUUUUUGUAUUGCAAAAAUCAUAAAGAUUAAAUAAUAUUUUAUGAUUGAAAAUUAAAUAAAACUAUAAACAAUUUUACUAGUAAUUGUUCAUAGUAAAAUUUAGUUAUCAUGACUAUUGAUACUUUAAAUAUAAUAAGAAUUAUUUAUCAUAUAUAAAAUCAAAAUUGUUUUUUAAUUUGCUAACUCACUUGCAUUUAAACUUUUUAUCAAAUAAUAUCAAAUUGAACCAUCAUAUUUUUAAACUAAUUUAUUAAACUUUAUUUUGCUUCUUAUUAAAACAUUAAUUAUAACAAGGAAAUUAAAUAAUUUUAACUAAAGAAAAAUAGGUAACACACUAAUUUGUUUCUUAACUUAAAAAAAAAUAGUAAUAUAACUUUAAACUUUUUAUAAUUAAUAAGAACUAUUAUUAUUACUAUUAAUGAUAAUUUCUAUUUAUGAUAUAUAUAUAUAUAUAUAUAUAAGAUUUUCUAAAAAAUUAUAAUAGGUAACCCAAAAAUUGUUUAAAAUAAAUAAUAGACUUUGGUCACGAUUGUGUGAACCCCGUGGCCAUAGGUUCAAAAUAUUUAAAAAAAACUCUAUGCAUUGGUAAUGGUCAAGCGAAAUUUGUAACUACAGGUUCUUAUACAGUCACGGUCAAUCAAUGGCGUGACUAAAAGUCACGGUCAAUCAAUCACGUCACUCAAAGUCACAAAAUAUCUAUUUAGUGACGGUUUCACAAAAACCUGUGACUAAAACAUCUUUUUCAUUACACUUUUUGUCACGGAUGAUAAAAUAACCGUGACUAAAGUUAUUGGCGCCAAAAUUUCCCUCCAUAAAUUUACAAAUAGUCACAGUUUUAAAUAAAUCCGUGACUAAAAUACCUCUUAUUAAUCCUUUUGGUGACGGUUGAUAAAAUCACCGUGACUAAACAUGUUUUUUUUUUUUUCCAAAUUUGAUUUAACACAUAUAGUCACAACCUUACCCAAUAAUAUCUUUGGUGGGCCGUGACUAAAGAUUCGUCAUUAAAAAUCUAUUUUUUUGUAGUGCUAGUUGGUCCAUGCAAAAUUCUUGCCCCCGUACAUAGACCAUUCACAUAAAAACAAGUGGGUAAGAAUUCAAUGAAAACAUUAUUUGUUAAGCAAAAUUGGGAAAUUGAAAUCAAGUUCUUUUUCAUGGUGAGAACACAAGGGAUAUUAUUAAGUUGAAGUAGCUUUAAUGCAGUUGGGAGGGUGGUGGAUCCUGUGUGUGUGAUUUCUAGACCUUUACCAUCACCAAUAAUUAUGUCGUCUGGGCCAGCAUAGUCGGAAUGCAAAGAUAGAUUCUGAAGAUCAUUAGAUAUGUGGUGUGAGGCACCAAAAUCCAAGACCCAAUUUGGAGAGACAACAGUUGGUUGAGUUGUCGCAUGUGUUUGUGCAGAAGAGGGGCGGUAACUGUAAUUGGGUGGAACACCAUGAUGUUGACUGGCAAUAUAUCGAAAUGAUGGACAUCUUUUCGCUGAGUGUCCUUGAACACCACACAAUUGACAAGUCCCCUUAUAUGGAUGAGGGGUGUGAUUCGAAGUAUUCGAGGUAGUCAUUGGUUGAGGUUGUUUGGAUGUACGGUAUUGAGACGAAGAGUAAGGCUGUUGAUUGAAGAAUCGAUGCGAUUGUGGUUGUUUGGUAGCAGCAUUGGUGGAAGCAGGCAAUGAGACAUUCCAAGAAGAAUACUUGGCAGAUUCUCAUAAAGUUUGAGCCUCAAGAGGAAGCAAUUUCUCAUAAAGUUCCUCAAAGGAAAAACAGUUUCAUGGGCAUGGAUGGUUGAGUGUAAAUCUUUGUACAUCUCAGGCAAACCAUGAAAUAUUUGAAUAAUGAAGUCCUCAGGGUCUAUGGUGACGUUCAUGAGAUAGAGAACAUCAACGCAAAUUUUAACAAAUUGCAUAUACUGUGUUAUGGACUGAGUGCCUUUGGACAAGUUGUCGAGUUGAGUCCGAUAAUGAAUUAUUCGGCUUCGAGAUGCUUUAGCAUAGGUGUUGUGAAGUGUAGACCAAGCCUCAAGGGAGGUUGUGGCUGAUGCAAUGAAUGAGAAAAUUGUUGGACUAAGUGAUGAAACAAUAGCAUUAAGAAGAUGGUCUUGACGAAUCCAAUGGGUGUAAGCUGGGUUUGGGGUUGUAGUACCCUUUUCAGAAGUAAGAGUGCUAGAAGGACAUGGUAAAGUGCCAUUGACAUAUCCCAGUAAAUCAUAACCGACUAGGAGAGUGUAAAAUUGGAGUCUCCAUGCAGAAAAAUUGUGUUGAGUGAGUUUGAUGGGGGUUUGGGAAGAGGCGUUUAUGGCUAUGAGGUUUUGAGUAGUGUAUAUAGAGAUGUUGGCAGCAGUGUCGAUGGAGGAAACAAUUGAGGGGGAAGGGCUAGAGCCUUCGUUGGUUUAUGGGUUUGGUGAGGCAUGAGAAUCAACUAUGUGAGCUAUGGUUGCUCUGAUACCAUAAAGACGAUACAGGCUUUGAGAGUUAAAGAUUGUUCUUUCUAUAGAUCAAGGCAAGAAGUAUAUAUAUAGUAUACAACCUAGCGUUACAGACUUACCAAAUUAACUCCACAAUAAAGGGAACUAUACAUGGUUGGUUACCAAAACAAAUAUAGGAGAUUAGCUGUACAUAUUACUGAAAUAUAGAGACGAUCACGGAGGAUUUGAUAGAGAUUGAAGUUGACUUUCAAACGAACCAUUUUCCUUAUCAGGUACUAAUUCAAAGUUCUUGGGUGGUACUUGAAUUAUAUCCCCAACAUUGAUGAUAUAUGCAUCUAGGGUGGGCUUAACUCGAAUCCAUUCUCCAUCAGUUUUUUGCUUUACUUCCAACCCUCUGACAUCAUCCUGGGCAAGGAUGGUUAAGGCUUCGGCAUCCUUUUGGCAACGAACACCCAGAGCUAGGUGAGGGAUGGGGCAUGGUGGGUAGUGAUUGAGGCGGAUGAAGGUAGUUGAUUCUUCAAAGAAAAGAUUGAAUCUGUUUUCCGGCAAACCUAAGCUCAGAGAGAUGAGUCCCAACAUCUUGAAAGCUAGUUUUUCCAUUUCUCUAGCAUAUUCUUCACAUACCUCCCUGUAUAAAUUGGUUCAAUUAGAACCAAAAAACCAAGUAAAUCAUUGAAGUGACUCUGCCUUAGCUGGUGGAAUUUGUACCUUAAUUCAGGAGAGUACUGAGGCCACUGAUUGAUCAACUCUUUGAGCUCCUUGUCGUCAGGAUCAGGCGAAGCAGGGAUGAAGGCGGGGGAUGACACCACGAAAUCAAAGACUUCCUUCCAGUCCCUAACGUUCUUGGUAUGCUCAGUAUCAAAAUACCACAAAGGAUUCACCCCAUCUCUACUCACCUUCCUCUUCUCCUACAAUGGCAGAGCGAAGAACUUCCUCGCCGCAUCCUCAAUUUUCCGGCGAGACUCCGAGGGCAUCCCAUGGUUGAUGACUUGAAAGAAGCCUCGAUUCUUGGAUGCAUCAGCUAUUUGAGAAACAUGGUUAGAGGCAUUGGCGGAAGAGAGAUCAAUGAGUGGGAUGCCUUCAGCUUCGAUAACAACGAGCUUAGGCCCAUGUUGGGUGUCUUGGAUGAAGGCUGGAUCGACCUCUCCCAUGGCUGUGGUAGUGAUUAGAACCUAGAAAUGGUGGUUAUGCACUGGUAGCUGCAGGUUGAGAUUGUGAAGGGGACUUGGGCCACUUGGCAGGUGAUUUUUGUAGUGUAGUGGGGUUGGUUUGGUUCAUUGAACCUUGACAUAAUGACAUAAAUGGGAUACGUUUUAUAAGUUCAAGGAAUCAUGGUAUUUGGAAAAUAUGAAUGAGUUGAAAAUUUUAAAAAAUAGGUUUAUAGGAGUAUAUUUUAAGGAAAAUAAUUUUCAAAUCAUAUCAUGUAUAGGAUAGUGACUUUGUACAUGUUUGAGGGGAAUCAUGUCAAAGUGCACUAUUUGAAAAACAUGGCUAAAUUGUAAACUUAAAAAAGUGGUUUCAUGGAGAGUACAUUAUGAGAAAAAUAAUUUCCAAAUCAUGUACUAAAAUAAUAACUGUAUCCAUGCUUCCAAAACUACUAUUCAACAUAUUUUCAUCAUGUCACAUUUUCCUAUGACGUCAUUGCCCUCAUUUCUUAGAAGAAAAACCCUUUCUGUUCUACUUUACUUUACACUGUUUGUUCCUAUAACCCUUUCCUUUUUUUAAUUUUAAUUUUUUUAAAAAAAUAUUUCUCAUCUAUUUUCUCGAUUUUUAAAAUUCUAUUUAAUUAAAAAAAUUAGAAUUUUUUUUAAAGUACAAUUCAUUUAUUUAUUUUUUCAUUUUAUUUAAAUGUGAUGUAUAAUUAAUACAUUAACAUAAAUUAGUUUUUAAUAUAAAAAUAUAUUCAUCUAUAAUAAUUAAAAAUCUAAUAAAUAAAUAAAUAAAUAAAUAUUAGUAUUUUAAAUAAUAUUGAUUUCGUAUAUACAAUAUUUUAUUUUGUUUCAUUAUUAUAGAUCUCAUUUUCUAUAUUUUUUAUUUCUAAUUUUUCUUAUAGAAUUUUAAACCUAGAUUUUUUAAAAAUGAAAUUUAAAAAAACACUAGAAAUUAAAGUUUUUGUUUUCUUCAAAAUAAAAACAAAAAAAAAAUAAUAUACAAAAAAAAAAUAUUAGUUUACCUUUAAUUUCAUUCAACAAAAAAUUAGUAAUGAUAAUUUUUUAAGAGUAUUUAAUUUUAAAAGUAAUAUUUGAAGAUAGGUAAAAUAAAAAUUUUAAAAGUGUUUGUAUUAAAAUUUUGAAUAUAAAUUCACAACUCCCAUCAUAAUACAUUGAUAUUUAAAAUAAAAAAAACCCCUAAUGAUUUUUUUUUAUUAUAUUAAACAUGUAAAAAAAGUACAUUUUUGUUUAAUUAAAAAUUUAAACCAUUAAAAUUGUUUUUUUCUUUAAUAAAUAAUGUUUUUAAAGAGUACAUUAUACCUAUUUUUUUGGGCAUGUUAUUUAAUAAUUGCUACCAAAGUCAUAACAAUGACAAUAAAAAACUAAAUAUAAUAGUGCAUAUUUGCUAUCUAUAGUGGUACUUUUAGUUACUAACAUUAUUAUUUUUAAGUAAAAAUAAUGUUAUUAUUUCCUGACAUAUUUGAUGUAGAGGUUGAAGUGAUGACAGUGCUAAAUAAGUUAGUACAUCCUAUUAUCUACAGUGAUAUUUUUAGUUACUAUUAUUAUUAUUUUUAGGUAAAGACAAUGUUACUAUCUCUAGUGAUACAUUUGAUGUAUGGAUUGGAGUGGUGAUAGAUGAUGUAACAACUGUGUAUAUGGGGUCAAUCAAGUGUAAUUGUCCUCUUAUUUGUAUAGAUCGCAACCCACCUCCGACAGUGGUUGAAAAGUAGUCUUGGAAGCAUAUCACCAAAGGGACAUUUUGAAUAAUAAUUUGGGAAAAAGCGUUCAUCAGACAUAGCCUAAAAAGUAUAUCCCAACAUUGCUGUUUAUUUAUCAAGCAAAUUACAUUAUUAUUGUCACACCAAACCUCCAAAUUCAACAUGUACUUAGCCUAUAUACUGGAUGGUGAACGGGCUAAAACAAGCUCUUACUGAUUACAGAUAGAUACUGUCCUACUGACACUUUUACUCUGAUACCUUGAAAUGAGAAAUUUGGAGGUUUUCCACAUCAAGCUUCUUGAAAUUGCUGCGCCUUCUCGCAGAAAAGAACUUUCCCCAGUUGUAUGCUCUGUAAUUUUGCUUUUCCCCCUUCGUCAGCUCCUCCAAGGGCUUCACCCAAACAUGCUGCCCGGGAUUGAAAGAGAACGGAAUCGAAAACCUUUCCCUCUCUGAAUUCACAGUCACCCUGUGCUCCACACUUUCAUAAGUAUCAUUGCUCCAGGCCUGGUUUAAUAUCAGUAUAAUUAGCCAAAUGGGUGUAACUGAGCCAAACAGUACUGAUAAGCAUGUACUUAUAAUUCGAAGUUCUUGGGUGGUACCUGAAUUAUAUCCCCAACAUUGAUGAUAUAAGCAUCUGGGGUGGGCUUAACUCGAAUCCAUUCUCCAUCGGUUUUUCGCUUUACUUCCAACCCUCCGACAUCAUCCUGAGCAAGGAUGGUUAAGGCUCCGCCAUCCUUGUGGCGACCAACGCCCAGAGCUAGGUGAGGGAUGGGGCAAGGUGGGUAGUGUUUGAGGCGGAUGAAGUUCGUUGAUUCUUCAAAGAAAAGAUUGAAUCUGUUUUCCGGCAAACCUAAACUCAACGAGAUGAGUCCCAAUAGCUUGAAAGCUAAUUUUUCCAUUUCUCUAGCAUACUCUUCACAUACCUCCCUAUAUAAAUCAGUUCAAUUAGAACAAAAAAGAUAAGUAAUUCACUGUAGUUAUUGUGCCUUAGCUGGUGAAAUUUGUACCUUAAUUCAGGAGGGUACUGAGGCCACUGAUUGGUCAGCUCUUUGAGCUCCUUGUCGUCAGGAUCAGGCGAAACAGGGAUCACGGUGGGGGUUGACACCACGAAAUCAAAGACUUCCUUCCAGUCCCUAACGUUCUUGGUAAGCUCCGAAUCAAAAUACCCCAAAGGAUUCACCUCAUCUCUACUCACCUUCCUCUUCUCCUCCAAUGGCAGAGCGAAGAAUUUCCUCGCCGCACCCUCAAUUUUCCGGCGAGACUCCGAGGGCACCCCAUGGUUGAUGACUUGAAAGAAGCCCCAAUUCUUGGAUGCGUCAGCUAUUUGAGAAACAUGGUUGGAAGCAUUGGCGGAAGAGAGAUCAAUGAGGGGGAUGCCUUCAGCUUCGAUAACAGCGAGCUUAGGCCUAUGUUGGGUGUCUUGGAUGAAGGCUGGAUCGACCUCUCCCAUGGCUGUGGUAGUGGUUGGAAGUUAGAAAUGGGGGUUAAGCACUGGUGGCAGCAGGUGUAGAUGGUGACGGGAAAUUGGGCCACACGGCAGGUGGUUUUUGUAGUGUGGUGGGGUUGGUUUAGUACAUUGAACCUGGGCAUAAUUUGGGUUACUUUUUAAGGUUUGGUUGAGGGUGUGACCUCAUGGAUUGCGCAUAUAUUAAUGAUAAUUGGUCAAGUGAUACUGCAGUCCCAAAGGGAAUCUCUCUCAAUGAUUUUGCCGACAGCUCCCUCCACAUUAAAAUGUUUCAUCCGUAUUUGAAUUGGAGUCUAAUGCUCUGAUCAAAGAUACCUUUCGCUUAGUCGAUCAGUGUUUGAUUACUAAAUAAGAUGGUGUCACAAAUAUUUUUGAAUUCUAGGUCAAAGUUAACGAGUGCAAAGGUUAUCAAUUUGAUAAGAUAAAUUGUUUAGAAACACUUUUAAAAAUGAUUCUUGAAAAAAUAUUUUUUUAAGUUUAAAAACCAUUUUUAAAUUUAGAAUAAAGGUUUAUUUAAAAACUUAUAUUAUUAUAAACUUAUUUUUUAUAUUUUUAAAAAAUAAUUUUUAUAUAUAAUAUUUUAUUUUCAAUCAUUUUUUACAUUUUUUUUAAAAAGGUAAAACUACUAAAAAAAAUACUUAAAAUAAGUUAUCAACAAAUGUCUUAUUGUCAUGACAAUUUUCAAAAACAUGUUUUAGAAACAAUUGAAAAUCAAAGUAUUUUCAUAUUCCUUUAUUCCCAAAAACAAAAAAUUAUUCUUGGUAACGGUUCCAAAUGUAUCCUUCAUUUGUUUAUCUUAUUAUAUAAGUUUUAAAAUAAAAUACAAAAAAUAAUUUUCAAUGAUAAUUUGUUACGGUUUUAUCCAAAAUUUUUAUAUUUUUAAUCAAUUAAUUUAUUGAUACGUAUAUUUCUCAUGAGACCUUUUUCUCACUAAAAACAUUACUUUUUUAUAAGACAUUUUUAAUAAAUUAAUUUUGAUACGUAGAUUAAAAAUGUCUUAUAACAAUAUAAAUUAAUUAAAUCAUUAGUUGGCCAUUUGGUCUCAUGCUUACACAACGACUUCUCUCAUGGCUGCCUAACAUGAAUGAACAACUCUCUACAACAAGUAAGGUACACUUAAUUAAAAAAUUAUUUAAUUUAAAGAUGUUCGAGAAUGAGAAUUUCAAGUAGCACUUGAAUGAAUUUAAUGAGACCACAAAUUAAUUAAAUUCGAUGGUUAUUAAAUUUGAUGAUAAGAUUCAAGCCUUAUUAAUCCUCGGUUAAUUGCUUGAGAGUUGGAAAGACACAAUCACCUCAAUCAAUAGUUCAUCCAAAAAAUCAAAAUUGGUGUUUUCGAAUGUAGUAGACAUGAUUAUAACCGAGGAGAUCAAGAAGCAUGAAGAAGGUUUUUCAAAUUCAUGAUCAACAUUAAAUAUGGAGAGCAAAGCUAGAAAUCAUAAUAAAGGUAAUAGGCGUGAUAAAUCCAAAUCGAGGAAUGAUAGGUUGAAAUACAAAAAUUCCAUAAAUUCCUAACAUCAGACGAGUAAGAACAAUAUCAAAUGUUGGAAUUGUGAUUGGAGCUAAAAUAUGUGCUCAAAUGACAUAUAUUUGAUAUGAUUUAUAUAUCAUAAGACACUCAAAUCAUCUGACUCUACCCAAAUUGAUACUAAGGUCCUAGCCAUGAGUUUAACUUGUAUUUUGGAGAUUUAUCUCAGGUUUAAGAAAAGAAAAUGGUGUAAGGUGAAUCAAUUUAGAUUUUGAAAGAAUAAGAAGGGGUUAAAUGAGAAAAUGAACAAGUCAAGACUCAUGAAAUAUGAAGAAAGGAAAGACGAGGAUAUCGUGAGUUUGGGAGAUGAGGAAUGACCAUUAUCAUGAAGUAAGAAAUAAGGCAUACAAACAUAGAAAAUGAGGCAUGAAACAAAAUUCAUCAAGUUUGCAUGGAAAUUUGGGACUCAAAAUCUGGUAAUAACAUAUACUCUGACUUUAAAAUGAAAUUUGGAGCAUUUCCCAAAGUCCAUUUUAGGCAAGCUAUAUAUUGUUUUGAAGCAUGGGAAGUUAGGAAUUCAAAGCUUCAAACAAUGUCCAAAUUAGAGCUAAAUAAGGAAGUUAUGCACAUUUAAAGCAAACUAGUUAGAGAGAAAAACUGAGUUCGAAAUUGGUCACUUGGAUUUGAAAUGGUUUUUGUCCAUUUAAAACUCAAAGAAAUGAAAGAAAACUUUUGGCAUUGGCUAAGUUUGAAUCUCUUUACCUAUUUCAAACAAGAGGCAUACAUUUCAAAGUCAAAUGAACAUACAUGGGCAGUGAGUGAGUUCAAAAUUCACUAUGAAUUUUGAACUCACCUUGUUGAUUUCAAAUUGGACCAUUUAUUUCCCACUUAUGAGUUCAAAAUUGAUUUGAACUCACCCAAAUUUCGAACUCAACCAUUAGUGACCGAUUUUAGGCUCUGAGACAUGUCAAAACGAGUUUCAAAUGCCUUUAUCCAAUUCAAAACGCAUCAUACUCAUUUAGAACUCGUAAUUUUUGGGGUUUUUUUUAAAGGUUAUUUAUGACUUUUCGUUACAAUAAGUGGCCAAUGAGAGUGUACCACAUGUUAGGUCAUUGAAGUUACUAUAAAAACUCUUUUAGUUAUAGUGUUUAGGUGAUCUUCCAAGAGUUAGACAUUUCGUGGGGAAGAAUACGAGAACUUUUGGUUUAUUUAUUUUCUUCUUUAUUGAAUGUAUUGUUUUUAGUUUCCUUUAUUUCAAAUUAUGAAUUUUUACUUUAUUAUGGAUUGUGAAUGUGACAUUACCCCCAUGAGAGGAUAAAAAGCUAACUUGGGGCUUAAACAUAAAAACUAACGGUUAGAAAACUUAUAGGGACAUUAGGUAAAUUAUUAUAACAAUAAGAUUAAUUAAUGGUUGAGUUACAAUUUAUUAAUUUUUUAUCCUAUCAUUGUGAGUUAGUUUAGAGAAUAAUAUAGUAGGUGAUUAUUCGAUACUAGUGAUUCUUGGUAACUCUUGAUCAUUAGUAAUCCUGAUUUUUCUUAUAGUUAUCUGCCCCAAAACGAAGUUAGAAGGAGUAGGAAAUGUUAAAAAGCCAAACCUUAAAUUGAUAAUAAUUUCAUUCAUUUGAUGUGUUGACAAAUCAGAGGGUUGGCUGCAUCCAUCAACUCUCUUUGUGUUCGCCGUGAGCACUUGGGUGAAUGCACUAUAAGGUUAGAGUAUGCACAUUUCUUAACAGCAAUUGCUUUUAGGAGAAUUGGUAGUGCCUGAGGUCCUACAUGAUAGUUUUAAGAACUUGUUUUAAAAAGAAAAAUUAAGUUUUAGAUGUACUUUUGAGUUAUAGGGCUCAAGUUGAUUGCAAGCGGCCAAGAAUCCCAAAACCCUAAGAUCACUCUAGUUAAGAAACCUUUGUUAUCUCUAUUUCUAUACCUUAAGUUAUAUUGUGGAAAACCUCAAACUUAAAUCAAUUAAAUUAAAAAUCAAUAUUCGUUUUGUUAUUAAUUUAGUUUUUUUUUUUUUUUACUUAGUUUCACUUCAUAAAAGUUAAUUCACAUAUUGUUUUUCGCUUUAGGAUUUAAAUAAAAACAAUUCAUUUAUCCUAGUAUUGAAAAAUUCCAUAUGUUAGUCCCUAAGGAUGAUACCCAAAGAAUUACAAAAACCAUAGUGACUAUUUCUCUAGUUUUUUCUUAACCAAAGUUACUAUGUAAAAAGGCUUAGUAUUUUACAUAAGAGAGAAGAUUGAUCAAAUUGUGGAAAGAAGAGACAUUAUAAAAAUGAGUGUAAGGCUGCCAAGAAGGAUAAGGAUGGUGACAACAAGACCAAUGCAAAUGUUGUGUCAAAAGAAUUAGAUGAUGCUCUUAUCUGCUAUUUAGAGAGAACAACAUAAUCGUGGGUAUUAGAUUCAGGGGCAUCGUUCCAUGCUACCUCAAGUGGAGAAUUAUUUGAGAAUUAUGUCUCAGGUAAUCUAGGGAAGAAGUAUCUAGGUGAUGACCAAGCAUGUGUUGUUAUUGGCAUAAGUGAAGUGCAUAUCAAAUAUUUGAAUGGAUUUGUAUGGAAUUUGGACAAUGUGAGGCACAUUUCAAACCUGAGAGAUAAUUUUAUUUCCAUUGGGUAGUUAACAAAAGAUAGUUAUGUGACAACUUUUUUAGGUGACACAUGGAAUAUCUCAAAGGGAGCUAUUUGCCAUGGCAAGAAGAAUGAUACUCUUUACAUGACAAUGAAUGGUUGUGGGUUUAUUACAAUUGUUGAGAGCAAAGAAGAUUCGAAUUUAUGGCAUUAAAGGCUUGGUCACAUGAGCAAUGAGGGGUUGGAAAUUAUACACUCAAAUGGGAAGUUGUCAAGUUUGAAAUAAGUUGACAUUGACAUGUGUGAAAAUUGCAUACUUGGGAAACAAAGAAGGGUUAGCUUUAAGAAAGUUGGAAAAACUCCAAAAGAAGUAAAACUGAAGUUAGUUUAUACAAAUGUUUGGGGACUUGCUUCAAUUUCAUCUAUCGGUAGAAGAUUUUUUUUUGUGACCUUCAUUGAUGAUCAUUUGAGGAAAGUGUGGGUAUACUUUAUGAUACACAAAUGAGAAGUGUUUGAUGUAUUCAAGAGACGGAAAACAAUGGUGGAGAAUAAGACAUGUAUGAGAGUCAAGAAGUUACGGUUUGAUAAUGGUAGGGAGGAUGAAGAAUUUGAGUUCAAGAAGAUCUAUUAUGAAAAUGGAAUUAAAUUAGAGAAGACCGUGCCAAGGACACCUUACCAGAAUGGUAUAGCAUAAUGAAUGAACAAGACAUUGACUGAAAGAGAAAAAAAACGUGUAUACAAGCAAGGUUGUCAAAGGAGUUCUUGGCAAAAGCAAUCAACAAAACAACUUACUUGAUCACAAAAUACUGGAAAAAGUGUGAACUAAAAAAAAGGUAAAGUUUUCUCAUUUGAGGGUAUUUGGUUGUGUAUCAUAUAUAUAUAUAUAUAUGUGUGUGUGUGUGUGUGUGUGUGUGUGUGUGUGUGUGUGUGUGUGUGUAUACAUAUUAGUGAUCAUGACAUAAACAUACUUGAUGCUAAAUCACUAAAAUGUACUUUCUUAGCUAUGGUGUUGAUAAUUUUGGUUAUUAGUUUUGGGAUGACCAGAGUAAGAAAGUGAUUAGAAGUAAGGAUGUCGAUUAGAAGUAAGGAUGUCAUAUUUAAUGAGAAAGUUUUGUAUAUGUAGAGAGAUGCAACACAUUCCAAUAGUCUGGUACAACUUGAACCUAUUUACUUUGAGCCAAAUGAUGUCCCAUUGAAUAACAUGACAAAUAAGACAGGUCAUAAUCAUUAGAUUGAGGAAAAUACUGCAUAAGAUGUUAAUAUAUCACAAGAUCUAGUUUCAAUUCCUACUUUGAGGAGAUCUAACAAGCCACAUGUACCAAAUAGGAAGUAUUUAAAUUAUUUGCUACUAAUAGAUGGAGGUGAACCUAAAUGUUAUGAUGAGGCAUGUCAGAUGGAAGAUAAUAGAAAGUGGGAGCUUACGAUGAAAAAUGAAAUGAAGUCCCUUAUUCUUAACCAGACUUGGAAGCUAGUCGAGUUACCAAUGGGUAAGAAAGUUUUUCAUAAUAAGUGGGUGUAUUAAAUUAAGUAGGAGCAUGGUGGUUCUAAGAGAUAUAAGGCUAGAUUGGUGGUCAAAGGGUUUCAAUAGAAGAAAAAUGAUUGACUAUACAUACAUUUUCUCUCUAGUUGUGAAACUAACUAUUAUUCAAUAUGUUUUGAGUAUUGUAGCAAUAAAGAGUUUACAUAUAGAACGGUUAGAUGUGAAGAUAGCUUUCCUCUAUGGUGAUUUUGAUGGGGAAAUUAGUAUAUAUGCAACAACUAGAGGGUUUUGUAGUGAAGGGUAAAGAGAAUCUGGUGUGCAAAUUAACUAACAGUCUGUAUGAUUUAAAACAAGCCCCAAGACAAUGGUAUAGAAUAUUUGGUAGUUUCAUGCAAAAGAAUAGGCAUCUCAAGUGCAAUGCAGACCAUUGUUGUUACUUUAAGAGAGUUGGUUCUAUCUAUAUUAUUUUGUUACUUUAUGUUGAUGGCAUGUUAGUAGUUGACGCAAAUCUAGAUGAAAUUAACAAGUUGAAGAAAUAGUUGUCUAGUGAAUUUGAAAUGAAGGACUUGGGAGCAACAAAGUAGGUACUUGGGAUGAAGAUUAGCAAAGACAAAUAAACGAGCAUCUUAUGGUUAUCUUAGGCUAAGUAUAUAUACUCAUAAAGUAUUGCAAAUAUUCGACAUGAGUAAUGUAAGGCAAUUAGAACAUCAUUAGCAAAUCAUUUCAGGUUGUCUAAUUAAGCAUUGCCCAUGGGCAGAUGAGGAAAAAGACUUCAUGGCUAAGGUUUCAUAUGCCUUAGCCAUUGGAAGUUUGAUGUAUGUUAUGAUAUGCACGACACUAGACAUUGCCUAUGCAGUGGAAGUUGUGAGCAAAUUUAUGUCAAAUCUAAGUAAGUAGCAUUAUGAAGUAGUGAAAUGGAUGCUUAGGUACUUACAGGGUACUACAAAAAAAUGUCUAUGUUUCGAAAGGGGUGAGUUAAAAUUGCAAGGAUAUGUGGAUGUUGAUUUUGCCAAUGAGAUAGAUAAUUGGAAAAGUACUACAUGGUAUGUGCUCACUUUGGGUACUAUUGCUAUUAGUUUGAUUUCUCAAUUGUAGAAGAUUGUUAUUUUAUCUACAAUUGAAGUAAAAUAUGUGGCUAUCACAGAAGCUAGAAAAGAAAUGAUUUGGCUAUAGAGUUUGUUAGCAAAGUUAGGAUUCAAAUAAGAUAUGAAUGUUUUGCAUAGUAAUGGCCAAAGUGCAAUACAUUUGGCUAAGUAUUCAACAUUUCAUUCAAGAACUAAUUAUAUUACACUUCAUUAUCACUCCAUCAGGUUUUUGCUUGAAGAUAGGGUGUUAACAUUUGUGAAGAUACAAGGUAGCAAGAAUCCGGUUAACAUGUUAACUAAAAUAGUGAUAAUAGAAAAAUUGGAGUUGUGUGCAACUUCAAUUGGUCAAUAAUGAGAAUAGGUUGUUUGAGUGCACCCUCAUACCCAUUAAUCAUUGAAAGAGAAUGUUUACUUGUGUUUUAGUCUUCAAGUGGAAGAUUGUUGGAUUGUGAAGCUUGAAUCAGUUUUAUUAUGCCCCGAUCAACUUGUAGGGAUUGAAGGGCGCAAUGCUCUAUGGAGAAUUUAUUUAUUUAUUUUUAUGUAAUGAUUGACAGGUUUAAUCUUAUUAUAUAUUUUAACCCUUUUAUGUUUUAAGGUUUUGUUUUUUAAUGUGUAGUUGCAAUUGAGAGGUUUUUUGAGAGCUUUGCUAUUCCACUCCUUCUCAUCCCUUUUAUAGUGAAUUGUUGUAUGUUGGUGUACUCCAUUGAUGUAGGGAUCAAAUUGAUCGUAAAACCAUUUUUUUUUUUUUUUUGUUUCUAUUUAUACAUGAGUGUGUGCGUGAUUUGGUUAACAUCAGUUAUCUUAAUAAUUCUAUUCCUGGAAUAGGAAGAAAAUGAUGAUUCCAUUAAUGUAGCAUGCAUUGCUGCUUAUUUAUCAAGCAAAUUACAUUAUUAUUACACCAAACCUCCAAAUUCACCACGUACGUAUCGUAUAUACCGCAUGAUAAGAUUUAGAGAGGUAAAACAAGCGCUUAUUGUUUACGGAUAGAUAAUGUCCCACCGACCUUUUACUCUGAUACCUUGAAAUGAGAAAUUUGGAGGUUUUCCACACCAAGCUUCUUGAGAUUACCGCGCUUUCUCGUAGCGAAGAACUUUCCCCAGUUGUAUGCUCUAUACUUUGGUUUUUCCCCCUUCGUCAGCUCCUCCAAGGGCUGCACCCAAAGAUGGUGCGCGGGAUUGAAAAAGAACGGAAUCGAGAACCUUUCCCUCUCUGAAUUCAGUAUCACUCUGUGCUCCACACUCUCAUAAGUUUCGUUGCUCCAAACCUGGUUUAAUAUCAGUAUAAUUAGCCAAAUAGGUGCAAAAUUCGGUGAGCGAAAUAACUGAUAAGCAGGUGCUUAUAAUUCAAAGUUCUUGGGUGGUACCUGAAUUAUAUCCCCAACAUUGAUGAUUUAAGCAUCUGGGGUGGGCUUCACUCGAACCCAUUCUCCGUCGGUUUUUCGCUUUACUUCCAACCCUCCGACAUCAUCCUGGGCAAGGAUGGUUAAGGCUCCGGCAUCCUUGUGGUGACCAACGCCCAGAGCUAGGUGAGGGACAGGGCAAGGUGGGUAGUGAUUGAAGCGGACGAAGCUCGUUGAUUCUUCAAAGAAAAGAUUGAAUCUGUUUUCUGGCAAACCUAAGCUCAGAGAGAUGAGUCCCAUCAGCUUGAAAGCUAGUUUUUCCGUUUCUCUCGCAUAUUCUUCACAGACCUCCCUGUAUAAAUCAGUUCAAUUAGAACAAAACAAACUAAGUAAUUUACUGUAGUGACUGUGCCUUAGCUGGUGAAAUUUGUACCUUAAUUCAGGAGGGUACUGAGGCCACCGAUUGGUCAGCUCUAUGAGCUCCUUGUCCUCAGGAUCAUCCGAAGCAGGGCCGAAGGCGGGGGUUCUCACCACGAAAUCAAAGACUUCUUUCCAGUCCCUAACGUUCUUGGUAUGCUCAGUAUCAAAGUACCCAAAAGGAUUCACCUCAUCUCUACUCACCUUCCUCUUCUCCUCCACUGGCAGAGCGAAGAACGUCCUCGCGGCAUCCCAAAUUUUCCGGCGAGACUCCAAGGGCACCCCAUGGUUGAUGACUUGAAAAAAGCCCCAGUUCUUGCAUGCAUCAGCUAUUUGAGAAACAUGAUUGGAAGCAUUGGCGGAAGAGAGAUCAAUGAGGGGGAUGCCUUCAGCUUCGAUAACAGCGAGCUUAGGCCUAUGUUGGGCGUCUUGGAUGAAGGCUGGAUUGACCUCUCCCAUGGCUGUGGUAGUGAUUAGAACUUAGAAAUGGCAAUUAUGCUCUGGUAGCUGCAGGUGAAGAUGGUUACAGGACUUGGGCAACUCGGCAGGUGGUUUUUAUAGCAUAAUAGGGGUGUUGGUUUAAUACCUUGAACCUGGACAUAAUAUGGGUUACGUGUUAAGUUUUAGUUCGGGGUGUGAGCUCAUGGGUUGCGCAUAUGUUAAUGAGAUUUGGUCAAGUGAUACCUAGCUAUUUCCACGGCACCCUCAAUAUUCAAAUAUUUCAUCCGUACUCGAUUUGGAAGGUUGAUUAGUAAAUCUGAUGGUGUAAUGUCUAUUUUUGAAUUCAAUGCUAUAUAUUUAACGGUGAAGAUAAGAAAAAUAGAAGAGUUGAUAACGUUGAAGAAAAAAUGCCAAAGUUUUAAGAAGGUAGAGUUUUGAUGAGAAAUAGGUAAAAUUAAAAUUGCAUUAUAAUAAUAUAAAUUAAUUAAAUCGGUAAUCACCCAUUUAAUCUCAUUCUUAUCCACAAUUGUUGAUAGUUGAUCCUACAAAAUUCUAAAAAAAUCUUCCACAAAGACAAAUCACAAGAUGUUCAAUAACAUAUAUGCUUUUGCACCAAAAAUUGUAUAAGGGAAAAAAAAAUGAUGCACAAAAAAAAAAAAAAAAAAAUUCUAUAUCUAAUAUUAUUUCAUAGGAAAACUAACUAUAAUAAAUUUUAAAAGCAAAGAGCGUUUUACCAUAUCUAAAUAAUAGAUUAUUAAAUUCUUUAUUUUUCAAUUGGAUAUUUUUUUUUAAAUUAGAAACAUCUAUAUAAAAAUAAAAAUCACUUUAAAAAAAUUUUAAAUUUAAGAUAAUAAAUUUUUUAUAAUAUUUUAAUUCUUUUAAAUAAUUUUUAAAAUUAUUAUUUUUUCAAUAUAAAAUUUUAAGAGUUUUUGUAUUUUAUAUAUAAGUUACUAAUAUUCUCUUAUUUUAAACAUAGAAAAUAAAAAAUGUAACCAAAUGAAUUAGAAAAUAAAAAAGUUGAAUAAAAAUAGUCUAACCAUCUUAAACCUAAUAAUGUUUGACAGAAAACACUUAAAUAUACCUUGUAAUUUUCCUCACUGGUCAGCUCCUCCGAAGGCUUCACAUUCACAUGGUGCGCCAGUAAGAAGAAGAAUGGAAUCGAAACCCUUUCCUUCUUGUGUCGACCCACACUGAGAGCGAGCUCCAGCCACGAGCACGAUGGAUGGUGAUUGAGUCGGAUGAAGCAUUAGCCUUCAAAGAAUUCAUUCAACCGAUCCCCCACCAAGCCUAAGCUUAAGGAGAUGAGUUCCAAGAACUUGUAAGCUAAUUUUUCUAUUUCUCUAAUAUAGUUUUUCCAAAUUUUCCUGAAAAUAAAUCAUUAUAUAAAAUAUAUCAAUACUCAAAAUAAAUUUAAUAAAAUCUUGUCUUGCCUUUAUGUCUCUAGUUGAGUCUGUUUGGCUUCAAGCUGUGCAUUUAUGUCUCCGGUUGAGUUUGUUAGGCUUUGAGUCGCACCUUUACACCUCUAGUUGAAUAUGUUCGACUUUGAGCCAUGCCUUUACGUUUUGAGUUGAGUCUAUUCGGCUUUGAGCCACGCCUUUACAUUUUAGUUGAAUCUGUUCGAUUUCAAGCCGUGCAUUUACAUCUAUAAUUGAGUCUAUUCAGCUUCAAAUUGCAUCUUCACAUUUUUUGUUGAAUCUGUUCAGCUUCAAGCCACUCCUUUAUGUCUCUAAUUAAAUUUGUUUGGCUUUAAGUUUCACCUUUAUGCCUUUAAUUGAGUUUGUUCGGCUUUUAGUUGCGCUUUUACGUUUUGAGUUGAGACUAUUUGGCAUCGAGUUGCAACUUUAUGUUUCAAGUUGAAUUUGUUUAGCUUCAAAUCGUGCCUUUACAUCUCUAGUUGAGUUUGUUCGACUUCAAGUCAUGCCUUUAAGUCUCUAGUUGAGUUUUUUUAGCUUUGAGCUGCGCCUCUACAUCUCUAGUUGAAUUUGUUUGGCUUCGUAUCACAUCUUAUGUUUCGAAUUGAGUUUAUUCGACUUCGAGUUGUGCCUUUAUGUUUCUAGUUGAGUCUAUUCAGCUUCAAGCUGCACCUUUACUUUUUGAAUUGAGUUUGUUCGGCUAUGAGCAAUGCUUUUACAUUUCAAGUUAAGUCUGUUUGGCUUUGAGUUAAGCCUUUACGUCUCUAGUUAAGUCUAUUCAACUUCGAGCCGCAUCUUUCAUUUUUGAGUUGAGUGUGUUUGGCUUUGAACCACACCUCUAUGUUUCAAAUUAAGUCUAUUCAUCUUCAAGUCGCACUUUUAUGUCUUUAGUUAAGUUUGUUCAGCUUCGAGCAAUGCCUUUAGGUUUGAAGUUGAGCCUAUUUGACUUCAAGCCACACCUUUACAUCUCUAGUAGAGUUUGUUUGGCUUCAAGCUAUGCCUUUUUGUUUCGAGUUUAGUCUGUUCAGUUUUGAGCCAUGCCCUUACGUUUCAAGUUAAGCCUAUCCGGCUUCAAGUCGCGUCUUUACAUUUUGAGUUAAGACUAUUCGACUUCAAGCUAUGUCUUUACAUCUUUAGUUGAGUUUGUUCAACUUCAAGCUACGCCUUUACGUUUUGAGUUAAGUCUAUUCGGUUUCAAGUUGUGUCUUUAUGUUUUGAGUUGAGUCUGUUUGGCUUUAAGUCACACUUUUACGUUUUGAGUUGAGUCUCUUCAACUUUGAACUACACCUUUAUAUAUCCAGUUGAGUCUGUUCGAAUUUGAGUCACACCUUUGAGUUUUGAGUUUAGUCUGUUCGGCUUUGAGCCACACUUUUACAUCUCUUGUUGAGUCAUAUUUAGCUUCAUUCUACGCCUUUACAUUUCCAAUUGAGUUUAUUUAGCUUUGAGUUGUGCCUAUGUUUUAAAGUUUGUUCAAUUUCGAGCCACAUCUUUAGCCUUAUUAAGUUUGUUCAAGUUUAGUUGUGCCCUCACCCAUAUCCUUAGUUUUAAGUUUAUUCAGCUUCAAGCCAUGCGUUUGUCCUUGUUAAGUAAGUUCGGCUUCGAGCCACGUCUUAGUUUUGAAGUUGUUUAUCCUUGAGCCACACCUUCCUUUCUUUUUUAGUUCACUUAGGGUUUUCUCCUUCCUCGAGUUUAUUAGUGCAUUCGAGUUCAUUUUUCUUUAAGUUGAUCACUCUUUAUCUUUGUUGUCCUUGAAUUGUUCAUUGUGUCACAAUUCAGUGUUUUUCAUUGCAUAUAUACUCCCCACAUUGUCUAUAUUUUAUCCUGAUGAGUUUCUUUCCCAAUACGUGACCUCGAUCUUUGAGUUUAGCAUGCCAUGUGCUAAGACAAUUUCGAGUGCUCUUUUGUUCUUCAAUGCAAUUCACUUCAUACCAUUCAUCACUCAUGUUUCACUGUUUGUGUUCAUUUCAUUCGUGAUCUACAUCGGAGAGAGACAUAUUUGUUGGCCCUUUACUUUGUCCUAUAAUACAUAUUUUCACAUUUUUUUAUUUUCCUCUUGCCCCAUACUCAUUUUUGGUGCUCGUUUUGGAUCCUUCUUGUUUGAUCAUUCAUGGUCCCUUAUUGGUCCACGUUUACUUGACUCAUUAUUCAUUUUUUAGUCGCAUUUUAGAGGCCAUGUAGGAGGAAUUUUGAGUACAUGCAAGCUUAUUUUUUAGAGACCCUUAGUAGUUGGCUCAUAUGAGGACACGCCUCCUCACACUACUACAAAAAUCAUUUAUGGUGUCACUAUUUAUAGUGACACUUUUAAAAUAAUGACACCAUAUAGCUUAAAAUCCACAAAGGUGACACAUCAUAUAAAAAUUUUCAAUUAGGAUCAAUGAUAUUAAUUUUAGGUUUAUAAUGUCAGUUGCCAAAAAAUGACACCAUAUAAAAUAUUUUUUUUCUAAAUAUUAUAACUCAAUUGGCCCACUUUGAGAAUAAUGAUAGUAUAUAAAAAAAUCAUUGUUUCCACAUACCCACAAUCCAAAAAAAUUUCAUUCCAUAACCCUAACCAAAAUUUUUUUCUACCUCUUCUCACACCCAUAGUUAACACACAACUGUUCUUCUCUGCUUUGUGGACUCUCAGGUAACCCAAAAUCUCUUAGAUCUAUCAUUUUCAUUUAUUUUUUUAUUAAUGUCAAAAUCUUUAUGAACACAAUUGAUUUAUGUUUAUUGAUUUAAUAUAUUUGUAAUAUGGAUUGUGUAAAUAGUGUUUUUUUAUUGAGUUGUAGGAAAGUAAAAACUAGGUUUAACAUUCCACCAUAUCUUCUGGUUCAUUGUUAAACCCAUAAACCCCAAAAUGAAUGAAAAUAAGAAAAAUGAAUUAUUUUUAAAUAUCUUUUAUACUCAAGAUAAUAUAUAAACAUUUUACAAUACAAAAUUUUUUUUUGAUCUUGUAGGAAAUUUCCUUUGAUAGGAUUUUCUGUUUGUUUUCAAGGAAUAUUGUAGUAUAUUGUGAUGAAGAUAUUGAUUGGUGUUAUUUGAAAAAUAAUUUUUUAGAAAAUUAUUCUCAAUAUUAUCAUCUCCCACAAAAUGAAAAAUGAAAUAGUUUUCAUAUCAUAUUGGAGUCGGUUUGGAAUGUUGGAAUUAACAAUGAGAAAUUAAUUUUAUUUUUUAUUUAUUAAUGUAAAUGAAUUGUUUUUUUUUUAAAUUUAAAUAGGAAUGAAAAUUUUUAUAAUUAUAAAAAUGAUCAAAUAUUAUAUUUUGAUUUUUUUUUCUAUUCUUUUACAUGGUAUUAUGGUUAAUAUCUCAUCUUGUUCUAUAUAUAUUUUUUAUAUUCUUAAAAUAUGUUUUUUGCUUUUUGUUUUUACUUUCUUUUCUUAUUGUUUUUAUAUGUGUUGACCAAAAUUUAGAGUAAUUUGAGAUUGGCGAUAAAAUUUUCCUUUCAAGGUUAGAAAAUUUCUAUAAAAUCAUUUUAUUACAUAAUUUUUUCAAUUCCUUCCAUAAAACUCUUCCUUUUUCCUUUUUUAAGAAGAUGUUUGAUAAUUUUCUUUUGAUUUCUAUGAAAUUUCCUUUUAUUGGACUGUUUGUUUAUUUUCUAAGAAUAUUAUAGUAUGUUAUGAUGAGGAUAUUGGUUGGUGAUAUUUGAAAAUUAAUUUUUGAGAAAAUUAUUCUCAAUAUUGUCAUCUGCCACAAAAGGAUUUUAAAAGUAUGUUUUAUUUUUGCCUUCUUUUCUUAUUGUUUUUAUAUGCAUUGACCAAACUUUGGAGUAAUUUGAGAUUGAUGAUGAAAUUUUCCUUUCAAGGCUAGGAAAUUUCUAUAAAAUCCUUUUAUUACAAUUUUUUUUUUUUUCCUAUUCCUUCCAUAAAACUCUUCCUUUUCUUCAUUUUUCUUUUUUGAUGUUUGAUAAUUUAUUGAUCUAAAGAAUAUUAAAAGUAAAAAAUUUAAAAUAUUGAAUAUUUUUUCCUUUGAUGUUGUUAUUUUAUUAUUAUUUUUAUUUGAACAUAUUUUUCAUAUCCAAAUUUUCUAUUAAUUAUUUUACUUUUAAAAAAAAUAUCAAUUGAAGUUAUGACUGAAAAAUCAAUAAUUUUUAUGAAAGGUUCUUUAAUUCUUUCUCAUACUAAUUUUUCUCUUAACAUUUCUUAAUAGUGAAUUAGGUUUUUUUGUUUUAUAUACACAAUUUUCAUGCUUGUUAUAAUAUCAUGUCCUAUCAUAUUAGUAGUUGAAAACAUUUUUAUAUUUUGUUACUAAAAUUUUAUUUUAUAUAAUUUACAUGAAUUUUAAUGGACAUUGUUAUUUCACAAAAUGAACAUUAAAAAAAAUAUUGAAAUUAAGAAAAUCCUUCCAAGAAAUAAAAAAAUAUAAAAAGAAUUGGAUGUUAAAAAUGAUUUUUAAAAGCAUUAUGAAUUAUAAAAAAUAAAUUUAAAAGAUUAGUAUUUUCUAAAAUUUUAGAUUUAUAUUUUGAUUUUGUAGUUUUGAUUUAUUUCAUAUUUUCUUGAAUUGUUUUUAUUUGAGUUCAAAUGUGACUACUUUGUUAUGAGAUUCAUUAAAAGGAUAAUUGUUGAUUCUACAGUUAUUGCAUUAAAGGUUUUACUCAUUUAAUGAAUUGUACAUAGUUUCAUACUUCUAAUUAUUGUGAUAUUAAUGUUAUUUUCAUUUGAUUUUAGUUUGAUGACAAAAAACAUAUUCUCAAGUAGACUUUGAUGAAAUAAGAGGAGAAUGGAUUGCUUUUGUGUUAUAACUAAUCAUGAAUCAUGUUGAUGUAUCGUGAUCAUGCAUGGUGAGUCCCUUAGUUGUUAUAUAAAUUUUCCAUUGGUAUUGUAUAACAUUACUUAUUCUUUAUGAACUAUUUUUAUAUCAAAAUAGGAAAAAGAAAAAAGGAAACAUUAGUACUUAGAUUUGUUUAUUUUUUUAUAACAUCACUAUGGACCCCGCAUUUUCGGCUCGAUGCGUUUCCCACUCGAUGGCGAGCUCGAUUUUUAAUUUUGAAAAAUGAUUUUUAUUCAUUAAAAAUGACUUGGAGUCGCCACUUAUUUUUGUUUUAUUUUUAAAGGGUAAACAAAAUAAGAAAAAAAAACCCUAAGUGUGACUCCUUAUUUUAGAAAAGGCGAUCUACGAAAAAACCGGAUUGGGCUCGGGGGUUAGGUUACUUAUCGGGAAGGUACGGUAAAGACCGUAGCACCCCUCUAAGUCCCUAAAAUCGGGUCUUUACUAAUAGAAUGAAGCUGACGUGGCAGUCAACAAGAAAAUCGAUGAAUAGUCAAAUCAAUCAUGCACAAUAUGAGAAGCAAAACAUGUAUAAAGAAUGAGCGAAAUAUGAAUAGAUGCGUACCUGGACGGCAAUCACGAACGCGCUAUCAUGAAACAUGGUUAGUGAACAAUGAACAGAUAUAAUUAAGCGCAUAUCAAGGAAUAGAGUAAAUCAAUCAUGCAUAGCAAAUAAAUAAAUCAAUUAGUUAAUCGAUUAUAAAUCACAUAUGUGGGGCCCCACCAAAGUCCAUUUAUUUUGCAUGAUUUAAUUCCAAUAACUCCAUUACUUGGAAUUACGGAAAUGAAUUCUUGCUUAUUUUAAAACGUUUUAAAACGAAGGAGAUGUGGAAAUUAUUUGCUAGAAGGAAAGAUGACAACAAAAUUUUAUUGGAAAUGAGAUUUUUGAGUGAUCCUAAAAAUUCUAAAGAUGAAAAUUUGAAAAAUAAAUAAAUAAAUAAGAAUAAAAUAAAAUUAUUUGAAAAUCUAGAAAUUGGAAACUAUUUGAAAACGGGAAAUUUGGAAAUUAAUUUAAAAUUGAAGAUAAAGAAAUAAAUAGAUAAAUAAAAAAAUAAAUAAAGGACACGUGACUCAAAAUGUGGUCAUGCAUAGUUGCUUGUAAAUUGGACAGCCAGUUGCUUCUCAUACUCUCAGCGUCAAGAUGUUCCUUGAUGUAGUUGCCCCAUGUGUCAUCCUUAGCCGUGAUAAUGCAUGUGUUUUCAUCCCAAUUAAAGUCACUUUGAUCAAGAAGUGCCUUGAUAGUGACAUAUUGCAUCCUCAAGACAUCAUACCGAUUCCUCAGUUGGUCCUUAUCCAUGGAUUCCCGCGAAAUAAAUCUGUUACCAGAACAUUGUAACCAUUGCAUGCAACGCGAUAUGCGGAGUCCCUUGUGGAUGAAUUUUCGAAGCCAAAGGCAUCAAACAAGAGCAGUAUCCCUGCCAACUGCGUGUUCAUCCAGCCGCUCAAUCACGCCACUAACAUGGGCACAGCGGAAAGCAUCAACACAACCUUAAUUCCUCUCUUGUAGCUGUUUAGCAGAUCCAAGUCUGUACAAGACUUGAUCUAUGGCAACGUCAUGAGGAUAUAGCCGCGGGGUAGCAUAUGAAUCCAAUCAAUGGGAAAUGGGCAUUAGGAAUGGUGGUCAGGCUUUGCAUGAUUUCAUACACGUGAAUGAGUGAUGCUGGGACCUUCAUGGAGGCUUUGAGUGGAUCUUUGGGCGGCGGUGUAGAAAGAGAAAGGUAGCAGGAAGAAAAGAAUGGGUGUGGGCUUGGUGGUAUGAAACGUGUGGUGUUAAAGAGGAAUGUGGCGUACAUGAGGAAAGACAUGGUGAGUGGAAUGAGCUAUGGGCAUGAGAGAAAUAGAGAAAAUGGGUAUGAAGGUUAAUGAGAGAGAACGGGCGUGUGAGGGUGGUAAAGGAAAAUGGAUGAUGGAUGCACAUAGGUGGAAAUGGGAAUGGAUUUGAUAAAGCAUGAAGGUAGGAAUGGGAUUCGGGUGAUAUUAGAUUACCAUGCAUGGAGAAUGUAUACGUGGAGGUCUAUUAUGCAAAGGAACUAAAAACGGGUCAAGUGAAGGGCUGUUUAGGGAAUAUGGCAUCAGUUUCAGGUUGAGGGGAUGGGGCCCUUGGGCCAUUUGGCUACCCACAAGUAUGAUCUACAAAAUAGGGUCCUUAUGUCAGGGUCAACUUUCGGAUUUUUGCAAAGCUGAUGCUACCAAUUUAAACUCUGAUCAAUCAGUGUCCGCGAUCUUGAGUCCUUCAAGCUGAUGCAACGCGUCUUUAGGAAGGUAGAGCCUCCAAUGAAUACUUUAGAUUUCGAUUUUUGAACAAUCAUGGCAGAACCCUUCAUCGAUUGGCAUUAUCAUUACCCUGGGAUUGCAGCAAGAUGCAUGGAAGGCUUCUUCACUAUUAUCACAAAUGAGCAUAUACAAUAUAUUUUCUGAAUGACCACACGAUUUACAUGGUUGGGAUGAGUUGCUAUUCCCACUAACUCCCAGAACUUCAAGAAGCUCCUGACUCCUCAGUAUAGAAAUGCGUGUAAUCAUUACCCUCUUGUUUGGCAUGACCUGUGCAUACCCAAGAAUGACACCUACUAACCAACCAAUUGAUCCUUAUUGCAUUUAGAACUCAUCUGCAUCCCCUAGUCAAUUUCAGUUUCUGACAGUUAAACCAAAAAUCCCCAGUCUCAGCAAUGACAGUAGUCUCACUUGACAACAUUUUCUGUAUAUGCUGGAACAGAACAUAAACCCUCAAAGGCUCCUCGGGAUCAGACGUAGGAGACUGUCCCUCAGGAACGUAAACUCUAUGGUAGAACUCAUAGGCAGUGAUAUUGCAUUCGAGCCUCUUGGAGAAUGACUUGAAGAAAUCUUUCAUCAAAAUGCACCCAAGCUCAAGCCCAUAAGCACACCAAACACCAUUAUUGGGUUCGUUACAUCACCAUGCUACGGAGUUUAUACAACAGGAAGCUCUAACUGAUGAUGGUUCUGGUAGUGAUUUGCCAAUGGGAACUUGGCCAUCAAGUGAACCCGAUAUCAGAAGCUGAAGUUAUUACCUUGUACUCUUCUAUUCCCCCAUUAUCAGCAAUUCCAAUGGAAACAGUAGGAGAGCCUCAAGACUGUGUAUCCAUUCAAUAACUCUGUUUCUCAGUCAGGAUGCAAAAAACUCCCCAAUGAUUCUACAGCUGCAACCACAGGAGCCCCACUACUACCAGUUCCUUCACCCAUUCUGACAGCAACCAAAACCAGACCAAUGACUUGAACUUUAGACUUCCCCAAUCCAUUAAAUCCAGAAACCACUUGGAGUUAGAAACAUUUUCUACCUCAUCCUAGAACUUUCAGGUAUUUUACAAAGUAAUGGUCGGUAUUUUUCAAAAGCAAAAAGAAAAAAAGGUAAGACUCAAGAAACAGAGCAAACUCAGAAUUCGUUAAUCAAGACUCCAUCUCAUGCUGCACUCAAUGGAUCUAAACAGGUGAGACAAGCAGGGAGCAGUGGCAUGAUUAAUCAAUCUCAAAAAUAAUCCAUAUAUCGGUUAUUGACAGGAAAAAACAAAGAAAGCAGAAAAGAACCCAAACAGAGCAAAUACAAAAACAAACUCAAAUUCAGCAAAUCAAUCCACAAUCAAGAAAAACUAACAAUGCUCAAGUAGCCUGAGAAAAAUGAUGAAGAACAGUGAUAAUGAAAAAUACCCUAAAAAAAAGAACACGAUACUUCAUACCUGUGAAACUCCUCUCCGAUGAAGCUCACCUACCAAACCAAUCUGCUCCCAUCCUUGGCACUAGAACCCCUCUCCGUAGCAGCCUAAGCUCAAGGAAAUCCCUCUCCAGACCGAUCUCUUCUUUCUUCUCAAGUUCUUUUCUCCUCCUCUCAAAAUAUCUCUCCCUGAAAAACGGCAGCCAAAACCUCCCUCUGCAGCUGGCCUGCCCCCGUAACAGAAUACCCCCCUCUAGCUUUCUCACUACCCUCAAAAGCACCCUCUCUCUCCUGCAGCUGCAAGCCUCCACUACCCCCAUGCAGCUGGCAGCCUCUACUCCUCUAACGGCCAGCAGAUUCUCCUUCUAGAAAAUUCUUUCCCUUUUCCAGGUGUCUUUCCCUGAUUGGCCCAUCAAUUCCACUAUAGUGAUUCUACAGUGACCAAUCCUAAGAAGGCACGUGGCCUUAUGAGAUUGCGACACUUGGCAAACACAGGCUGCCAAAAAGUGAGCCCCCAAAUGGGGGUCUACAAUCACAUUUUUAUUUUCAAUAAGAACUCUAAAACUCAUUAAACUAUAAAAUGCAGAUAUACACUCUUGAGAGGACAAUAUGAAGAAUAAAAAGAAAUAAGAAAGAAGCAACAAGAUUUGGAUUUUUAGAUGUGACUCUUAUGUCAUACAUUAUACGACAUAAAUGUUAUUUUAUUUGGAAUUGAGAAUUGUGGGUUUUUUUAUGCAACUCUUGUGUCAUUUGGUUAGCCGGUUUUAUGCAUAUGAAACGUAAGUAUACAUGAAUGUUGGGAUGCUUAACAUUUCUAAAUCAUGUUUUAAUGUGUAUUCACUUUUCUUUUUUAGUUUUGGUGGGUUUGAUAUACUAUGUUUUGUGAACAUUUGAUAUACAAAUAUUAGUGGAUGAUGUAAUGUAUUAUAGGUUAAUCCAUAAGCAUAAAGAAAAUAUAAGUUAAAUGUAAUAUGAUUAUUAUAUUUAUGGACAAAAUUUACACACGUUGAUCUUAUUUAUUAAUAAGCAUUACAAAAAUCUAUAGGCUAGUCAACAAAAAACAACCAUAUCUUCUAUAAUCAUUUACAAUGAAGUGACACCAUAAUUCAAAGGUGAUGCAUUUAACGUGACAUCAUAACUCAAAGGUGAUGCAUUUAAUAUGACACCUUAUAUAUCUCACAUAACUCUAUAUCAAAUUAAGCAUCACUAAAAAUAUAUGGUGUCGCUUCUAAAUGCGUCACAAUUUAUCUGUUUUGGUGUCGCUUCCAAAUACGUCACCAAUUGGUACCCUCUAUGGUAUUGGUGGAUAAGGUGACGCUAUGUUGUAGCGACACCCUAUGUUUAGGGUGACUCGUUAUAAAUGUCACCAUAUAUGUUUUUCCUUGUAGUGUCAUUGGGAAGGUUUUUUCCAUUUUUUAGAGGGGUUUUCUAAAGGCUUCUAGGGUGAGGACACUGUUCUCAUAUUGGCUUUUUUUCCCCCUUUUUAGAGGGGUCUUCUAAAGGCUUCUAAGGUCAACUAGGAGAGCAUGUUGAUUGAUGCUUUGAUAUGGAUACCAGAUGCCACAUUUCAUCUUGUUGAACACUGGUUAGCUAUGGACUUGUUACUGCUUUACUCUUCUGUUUCGAGUUAACUUUGGAAAUGAAUCUGAAUAUAGACUAGUAUUUGCAUCUUGAUGUUUAGAGAAUCAUAUUUUAGUUGUUGUUUAAAAUUCAUUUUGGCAUGUUCGAUUGCUUCAAGCUCAUUUAUACAAUAAUGAAAUGGAGAUUUAUAUAUUUGUUAUUGGGUUGGCUCUCUGUUUGGUUAUCUUUAAGUUCUGCAUCUUUUCUUUUCUCGUUGCCUUAUCUUCUCUGGGGGGUGUCGUUUGAGAAAUACAUAGUGGAAAAAAUGGGAAGCUGAAGGCUUAUCCUGGCAUCGACCUCGCGUUAGGGAACGACUUGAUCGAAGAACAUAUGAAUUUUUCAAAUACCCAGAACUCACAUCAAAAGAAGCAUCGGAGUCAAGGUCAAACACAUCAUCUGACAAGGAAUAUACCUUUGCCUUUGGUGACUUUAUUGACUUCUGCAUGAUGGACAUCCGAGGGUGGGGACUGGAAGAGAAAUGAUGAAUUUGCCCAAGAUAGUUUGUCUAGAAAGGAACUUGUAUUAAAUGAUGAUUACCCACUAUGUCAGAUGUUGAAAUUUGGGUAUGACAACUCCUGGUGGCAUCAGAAAGAUGAGUUGCACAAUCCUUCUCACAGUUGAAAGCUUGACCUCCGAAGUUGGGCUUUUUCAUGGCCAGACAAGAACAGUGAUCACAAUAGUAUGAGCCAAGCCUGUCACGACCCAAAUUCUAGGUGAACUUAACCAUGACUCCAAAUCAAAGGUUUAAACUUAAAGGUUACAUCUAUUCAAUCUAGUAGUCAAUCCUGAUAACUUGAUUUUUUUUUCUUGAUAAAACAAUAUCUAAUCCCAAAUCAAUUUAUUAAGCUAAUAACUUGAUUUUUUUUCUCAAUAAAACAACAUCUAGUCCCAAAUUAAUUUAUUAAGCUAAGAUUUACUAUAUCAUAUUAUUUGAUUUUAUUUUUCAAAAAUCAACCAUUACACUAUCACUUAUUUGCAAGUAUAAUAAAUCUGUCAAACAUCUUAUCACCCAAAAUGAUAACCCAAAUAUUUACAAAAAAAAGUUUUACAAAUUAAUAAAAUAUAGUCUAAGUUAUAAAAGUUCUUAUAAAUUAAAUUAGUAUGUGCUAAAAUAUAAGAUAACUGAAAAAAAAAAAAAAAAAAAAAAAACCAUUAUUAUUAUGGUUCCUUAAAAACUAUAUUUGCAUCUAAAAAUUUUAGAAAAUAAAGGGAUGGACAUUUCCACAUUACUUAGUAAGGUAUUUUACACCCACACAAAUUAGAAAUUCUAAGUCAAUAAAACACAAUCAUAUAUCAAAGUGUAAUUUUACAUCUAAUGUACUACAACUAUAUACAUUUAAACUAAUCAAAAUUAUCACUAACCAUAAUCAGACUCCAAAUAAUACAAAUAACAUUUAUUAUCUCCCAAAAACAUAAUGUGUAAUUUUGUUUCCAAAGAAAAAUAUAAAAUAAAAGUUUUAGGGUUAAACCACCCUACAUCAAAUUUGAAAAUCUAAUUGUUAAAACUAAAAUCAGACUCCGUAAAAAUGUUCUUUAUGUUAAAUAGAGUGUUUUGCUAAAAUCUCAUGCAAAACAGAAUUCAUUUGGCUUGUCGGAUGACAACCCAAAUAUUUGUUGCACCUUCCUUGUUUCUUCUCUUCCUUUGUGUUUCCGUUUGCACUCUUCUCUCUACGGAUCUGGUAAAUAGGGUAGCCCCUGGUACGCUUGGGGCUGGAUUGAAUCCUAUUCGAACUAUAUCUAACUUGAUCUUGUCCAAGCUAGGAAGGUUUUUGGUCUCGAUGACAUUGGAAGUUUCAUCAUUGCUAAAGAAAGGGGCGGCCAAAAAGGCUUAGCGACGACCCUCUCUCGACUUAAAGGAAACGACUUGUCCCAUCCAAUGCCCUACUUUUAAGUGCUCGGUAUGUUCACUUAAUCAAAUCUAGAAGAAGCUUGGCCUCUGUAGAGCAUGAAAAGGCUAGUUUUGAAGCUUUUAAUCGAGGACUUAUUUGCCCUAAAGCCUGACUUCUUAGGAAGAGAAAUGGGCUUGACUUCUUCAUCAACCUCGGAAUCGCAUUCUAUCACACUGGUGGUACUUCUUGUUGAAUUAAAAGAUUGGAUGAGUCUUUUUGUACCCACCCGCCACCCCUGUUUGAGAGUGAUUAAAUAUCAUAACUUCCUUAAUGGACCUACGGACUAGCUAAGGUUUACUUACAUAGUUGUUCUUUCUUUUCUCAAUUUCAAGUUAAAGUUAGCGUUUUUCAGCUUACUGUUUGCUUUGGUUGAGUAGCCGCCUUAUGACCCUUUGCUUUUGAAUGAAAUCAUCUAGAACCUCUCAGAUCGGAUUCCAAUCACCUUAGUGAGUCUCCUAGGUGCGAAGCCAUUCUUUAAGCCCAAAACAAAAGGAGAAGUGAAGUCACUAUCUAGACAAAGGGGCUUGCCUACUUAUAAGGUAGGAGUUCACACCGGGGAAUCGCUUUCUUAAUUAAUUAAAAGCGAGCCAAACUCACCACCUCAUGUACCAAAGUCAAACGGUUGUUCUUCCUUCCCCGCUCCCUUUUUCUCUACAUAUGUGAUGGCGGGCAGAGCGCUCUAUAUGACCGGUGGUGGGUUACCAGAGAAGAUGGGACAACUUCUUUCUCUCUUGCCUUGCUCAAUCUUCCUUUUCUGAUUGAAAGUAGCAAGCCACACCACUACUGGUACAGAGGUCGGAUAGAAGGUUGCUUUUUCUAUAUGUUCAGGCGAAGAACAUCUACGGCACAGUCUUCGCCAAGCAAGAUGAUGUAACUCCUCAAAACAUAAAAAGAGCUCUUAUAUAUGUAAAAACAUGAUAUAUGUGUAAAUGAAUUAUAGCCAUUUUCAAAUAGAUCAGGAUCGUCAGAUGUUUGAAAUGGAAAGUCAAUUUUUCUAUAUGCAUGUAGAUAUCUAUAGGGGAUUAUAUGAAGGGGAUGUUAUUAUUUUAGAUAUAAUCAAUUCCCUUCUCGGAGCCCACUAAGAUCCGGAUCUCCUACGGAAAUGAUUUAGAAGAUCCAAAACCAAAAAUAGUGGUAUUUGCUAGCAACAACAUAAUGGAGGCAGUCAAUCAAUAUAUAUUGAUCUAAAAUCUGAUUCAAAUCCAAUAUAGCACCUAUGGGUACAUAAAAGAAAGGCAAGAGAGAAAAGAAGUCCAUACUUUUCAACAAAGCUUUAAGUGAGUAGGGGUGUAGCAGAUUCAUGCACGUCGAAUAUAAAUGCAGUUGGAUGAGUAGUCGCGGAUUCACAAUGCCGGUUAAAAAGCCAAUCUUAGGGUUGCAUUCACUCCCCUUCUAUAUCUUGCAUCUAUAGUAUUUUUGUCCUGGUGGAUCUCUUUAUCAUUUAAUAAAAGUUUGGAAUCUUGGGUUACUAAUUGGUGGAAUACUAGGCAAUCUAAAACUUUUUUGAAUGAUAUUCAAGAAAACAAUCAAUUUCCCAUCAUUUGCACUAUGAAUGGAAAUGAAAUUCUAGAUCUAGAAUCAGAUGAAUGUGCAACAGUCAAUUUCCUCCCUCACAACCUAAUUGUCCACUAAAAACAACCUUUUUUACUAUACGCUAUUUGGCCGCUAGAAGAACUUCAGUUCUUAUAGGUAAAUGCUCAAUACCCAAGUAGGCCUACAAAGUUGAUCAUGAUCAAGUGCUUUUUGGGUCGUCUUAGACCUUGCAAUAUCUCUCCGGCCCUCUAGCACUCUGUUAUGGCUCAAUCACUUACUCUAGUUCUGGAGUUCUAGGUCCUCUAGCUAUUAGUGCAGGUAGCUCUCCUUCUGGUAAUGCAUUAUAGGUUGUCUUCCUUCCACCUUCCUGUUUUCAAGAAAGCUUAUUUUCUUUCUAAGAAAAAUCAUACAAUCUCGUAUGAGAACGGGAUUGAUGGGAGGCAUAUGCUCCCAGGCUACACAAUGUCUUACAGGGCUUACCCAGUUAGAAGGUAUGUAACUAAAGUCUCAAGAGAAUUGAAAUCGACGAGAAAUCAGAAUCAAUGUUAGAGAUUAGACUUGGCAUGGAAAAAGGAGUAUAGUAAGAUGAUAGAGACCUCGCACGAGAUGCUUACUCGGAUUCAUGCCCAUAAAGAGUAGAAGAUUCAACACAAGUGCAAGAAUAGGUUUCACAGUUAAGAAAGGUUGAGAUUCAGGUGAGUGAGUGAGUCCUCACUGACUUGAGCGAUUUCGAUCACCUAGCAGUUUAUUUGGUAGGUAACAUCGCUAAAGCAUAUCAUCUGAUCUACAAAUGAAGGAAAUCAAAGUGAGACGACACCGUCCUCUGUAACGCAACGAUAGUUGGCCCUUUAUCAUCAACUAUUUGGUAGACUUGGUAAAAGAUGUAAGGCUUUAGCUAGUACACGAAAGUGCAUACCAUGAUUCUUCUGUCUAUCAAUAACUGCAUGCAUUGCACGAUGGAUGUGAAGAAGUAGGCCAUUAUCUCGACAAUAAUGAGCCAAGCUAGUAUUUGCAGUGAAUCCCCCUGUUAAGUAGUCACAUUAAUGGAACAAGAACACAUUAGCGUAUGAAACAGAGCUGAAAGCGCGAGUGCACAAUCUCAAAAACGGCAAAUUCACGUUCUACUUCCUCAAUCUCGAACUCUGUCUAUUGGGAUGAGCUCCCCUUACCUGCGCUAUUCUAUGAACGAACUUCCUUUAUAAACCAUAAAACUGGAACAAUCACUGUUCCAGGGUCUGUCUCAGAGUUCUAUCUCGUGCUUGACAUCAAUUGCAUCCAAACCUUUAAUCGGGUAUACUUUCCACAAUAACAAGCGAGUCAUAGUUAGGUAAAAGUUAUACAGAAAGAUGACAUCGUUGGCGAACUUGAAGCUAGUUAGGUAAAUCCCCUUAUAUUCUUCUUUCUUCUCCCAUAAGACAUUCCUUAUUAUUAUUAUUAUUAUUAUUUUCAUUUUCUCAAUUUCUUUAUCUUUUCAACUUUAAGACACCAUUUUGCACUUCUUCUUUUUUAUUAUAAUUAUUAUUCUUUAUCAACCAUACCAUGUUAAGAAAUUUAUUUAUUUUAAUCCAAAAAUCUACUUAAAUACAAUUUCAUACUUUUCUUAAUAAAUUAUAUAUAUAUAUAUAUAUAUAUAUAUAUAUAUAUAUAUAUAUAUAUAUAUAUAUAUAUAUAUAUAUUAUUUCUUAUUAUAACAAAUUUAAAAUGUCACAUGUAUCAUUUUUUUAAUAAAUCAAAUUAUUAUUCUUUAUUUCAUAUUCUACAAUUAUAAAUUAUACUCAAUAUAUGAUUUAUUGUCUUACGAAAAAUAUACUGCUAUAUUCUUAAUUAAAUUUAUUACAAGUCUACUUUUCAAAAAAAAAUUAAUUUGACUUUAAUUACUUGAAACAUUUUUAUUAUGAAAUUCAUUUAGAACAUGAUUUCAUUAAUUAUAUAUUUAAAAAAAAUCAAUUUUAGAAAAAAAUCUGAAACAUAAAAUAAUUCUUCAACAUCAAGAAGCUGAAAUUCAUAAUAAUAUUUAAUCCUUUAAUUUUACCAAUAUUUAUUUACCAAUAAAAUUUAAGCAAUAUUCUGAAAUUUAAUUCCAUUAGUUAUUUAGUCAUUCAAUUUAUAAAAUCAUAUUCUCAACCUUUGGUAUAACUUUUAUUUAAUUUACUUCAUUUGUCAAAUUUCUCAAUUGAAUCAAAAUUUCAAAAGUUAAAUUCACUAAAUUCAUAUUUAAUUAAUUUAGCCUUUUAUAUUCCCUAAAUUAAUAUAUCAUAAUUUACUCUUAAUGUAAUUUCAAUUCAAUUUUAUUUGAUGUUUUGUAAUUCUAUAAGGUUUAAUUCUAAUUAUAAAAAUUAUUGAUUUCUUAUAAAAUUAAAUUCAAUUUCUUUUUAAUUAUCCAUUAUAACAAUUUGAUAUAAUCUAAAUUUUUAUCAAGUUUUUCUUACUACAAUUCUCUAUAAUUAAAUUAAUGGUCAUAAUAUACUUAAUAUUCAAUUUUAGAGACUAUAAUAUCAAUAAUUAUUUGAUGGUUGAAUUUUUUUCCAAAUUUAAAUUUAAUUUUUGAAAUUCCUACUCUUUGCAUAUGACGUGAUGGAAUUUUUAUACUAUUGACUUUUUAUUAACUUUUUCAAAAAAUUUCUUAAUUAAAUAUUAACACGGGGAUUUUCGUCAUUCUUUUUUAACAUUUGACUAAUGAUUUUAUGAUAACUUUAAUCUGACAUGUCAUUAAAAAUCCGGUUGUUAUAGAGCCAGUCAAAUUAAGCCUGUUAUCCGAGGAGUGAAGCCACUGCCUUGUUCUAUCUCCGAUGGCCUGCUCAGCUCCUUCAACCCCCAUCGCUCUCCUCUUUCCAAGUUCUCCAUUUUCAGUUUAGAGCCAACAAGGAUCGCAGAAAUCCUUAAAGAUUGACCUACAUGGUAUCGUGAGUACCGCGAUGUGGAUGUUCUUAAUGUGUUGUCUACUAGAGCCAAAUGGGUGUUUGAUAAGACCCAGUGAAGGUGUAAAAAUUAUAUGACGAAGCUUGCAGAAAGACUUUGAGUUGAGGGAAGGCAUCUCAACGAAGUUGGGCUUUUGUAUUGUGAAUCUGGCAAAUUACCUAUACUGCAUGGAUCAUCACUCUUUUAACGUGGAGGUACACAGGUCCUUUGCAAUGUGACACUUGGGGCACCACAUCAAGCUGGUGAUGCUCAACGACUGGCUUCUCUGGACGGGUCCUCCAACAAAGCGCUUCAUGCUUCACUGAAAUUUCCCGGAGUUCUCAAUUAAUGAAGUUGGCCAACUCCUUAACCUGCACUGUUCCGCAGCAGUCACAUAAAGAUUUGACAUUGAAAUUGAUCAGGUUUUUCCUCUGCCAAUGGUGGUGGGCGCGCUUUGUAUGUAGAUUCCGAAGGAACUUCCAACUUGAUGGCUGUGAGUGGUAAGGUUGGAGAAGAUACUACUGGGUCUGCCCCAUUAGUUUUCCAUUGUUAAGGUAGUUUGGUGCACAGCUUCCUGGAUCAUCUACACCACGAGCACCUCCAGCCGCCUGUUUUGAUCAGUUUCUGGAUUUCCAUCUCCAAAUUGUGCAAGCAGUGACUGAUAUGGUGUCCAUACAAGCGGCUACUGAAAUGGUUCAAACCCCAAAUGCUGAAGGGAAAGGAGCUUUUGGAAAAUAUCAUGAAGAAGACUCACCCAUCUUACAUGAAAUUAUACACAACUCCAUGGACCAGAACCGGAACCCAGACUUAAAUUUGUCCAAGAGAAGAUCAGUGUAAUACAAGUCAACUGCAGUCAUUCCUGAAAGAAGUGAUGAGAAGAGUAAACCUGGAAAAGCAGUGAGUGAAACAAGUUUUGUGACAUUGAACAAUUUGCAGAUGGGUGUUCCCACAAGCUCCUCUCCCCUCUUCCUACGUGCAUGAAAUUCCUACGUGCAUGGCCACCUUCUUAGGUGUGCAAUUCUGCGCAUAAUUCUCAAGCGUACUAUCACCCUCUUCUUUUUUGAAAAAUUGAUUUUAAAUUUAAAAUUUUGACAAAUUCAUUUCCCUUUUAAAAUCCCUCAGUAAUUCUCUUCAAAUUAAUAAAAUCUAUUUUCAAAAAAAAUUUGCUGCCAUUUUCCUUUUGGCAUAGACCUUUUUCUAUUUUCUUUGAUUUUUAAUCAUUUUCCAAUUUUUUAAUAAAUAUGAAUAAAUUCUAUGUUUUUAAAAAUAAUGGAAUUUUGUCCAAAUUUCUAUUAUCUUUUUCUCCAUGAUCAUUAGAAAGAUGAAAUUCCUAAAAUUAAUUCAUGCAAAUAAAUUGGACAUUGGUAGGCCCAACAUAUGAAUUUUUCUCCUUUGAUUAUUGUUUUUAAUUGCUACACUUGAUUGACUAAUGAUUGAUCUCUGUCUUGCUCUAGCAUACAUGAGAUUAUUUUGUGCUUGUUAUUGUACACUAACCAUGUUUCUCACGAAGCGCUCAACUUAUUCUCAAGUACGUUCUUUCCUUUUCCUAUUCGUUUAGUUAUAACCAAUGUUUUCAAAAUCGGACCGAUCAUUGAAUUGGAAAAGUUACUGGUUCACGGUUCACUGGUCGAAUCGGCGGUCAAAUCACGGUCAAACUAGUGAUGUCAUAAAUAUAUAAUUUAUAAAUUAUUAAAAUUUAAAAUAAUUAUAAAAAUAAAAAUAAUAAUUUAUAUAUUAUUUAAAAAUUAAAAUUUUAUUUAAAAAUUAGAAAAUUAGUUUCAAAUUAGAAAUUAAAAUUAAAAUCAUAAUUUUAAUUUUAAUUUUCAAAUUUUCAAAUUCAUUUUUAAAUAAAAAAAAACUUAUUUUAAAAUCAUGAAUUUAUUUAAAAUUAUAAUAUUUUCAUUAAUUUAAAUUAAAAUCAUAAGUUUUAAACAUCAUGAAAUAAAAAAUAAUAAAUAUAAAAGAAAAUAAAUUAUACUGAAAUGAGGUAAAAAAUAAUUUAAAAAAAUGGAAAAAGAGAGGAGAGGAACAAGCAAAAAAGGGUUCCAACAGGGUUUUGGGGGGUGGGGUUUCCAUUUCUAGCGCCAGGUGGGGGCCCUUCCGGUGGGCCAAAAGGGGAAAAGCUUUUUGGCUUUUCCAGUGCAAGGGGUGCCGAUGGGGUGGGGGGUUCCAAUGGGCAAGAAGAGCUCUUCCAGCGCACGCGGGUAGGAGUGGCGACAAUGGGGAAAAAAAAAAAGUUGAACCGGAUGGUUCCAUCCGAACCGUCCGGUUAGUCGGCCGAACCACCGAUUUAACUAGUCCGACCACUUUCCAGCCCAAUUGACCAAACCAGAUUGAAACCGUGACCAGCCGAUCCAAUCCAAUUUUUAAAGCCAUAAUUAUAGCUCAACCAUAACACAUCAUUGAUCAUUACUUGGUAUUUGUUGACUUUUUGAUCAAUUGUCAUUCUUAUAUUAACUUGAUUAUUAGAGACCUAAUUUUAGGGUAUAAAGGGGUAUUACGAUUUAUCAUCCUACCUUCUCAACAAGUAACCUGACCCUUGAACCCAGACUUGGUUUUUCAUAAACCCGUAUUUUCCUUUCAAGUUUCAUACUUAGAAUUUUUUUUUUUCCAUUUAAAAAUAAAAUAAAGAUACGUGGCCUAAAACCAUUUUCAUCAAUCCAAAGUGAGUCUUGUCUUUUUUUUUUUCAAGUAAGGACACGAUCACAGGUCUACAAUACUAUUUUAAUAUAUAUAAUGAAAUAUAGAUAUUAACGCCAUCUUAAAGAUAUAAUUAAAUUUUUUGUUUAAAAUAAAUUAUAAUAAUUUAAAAAUAAUAUUUUAUUUAAAAUAAAUUUUAGAAUAAGCAAAGUUGAUAUGUGGACAUAGAGAAUCGUGAACCAUUGUAAAUGUAUUGAUUAUAUCUCUUUCUUCCCAUUUCAUUUUUACUUUAGUUUUUAUUAUUCGUAUCUUUUUCUACUAAAAUUUGAAAAAGAAAUUCACAUUCACUUCUUCUUGGGUGUAUAUCAUAGGAUUCAAAAUGUUUUUAAAAAUUAUUAAAUUUGUUAAUUGUGACUAUAUGCUUAUUUAGGAUCCAUUGAUCUUAAUAACUUUCUUCCCGAUAUAGGAAGAAAAUGACUAUUCCAUUAAUGCAGCAUGCAUUGCUGCUUAUUUAUCAAGCAAAUUACAUUAUUAUUUUCACACCAAACCUCCAAAUUCUCCAUGCAUAUACGCAUCCUAUACUGCAUGGCCAACUUCAGAGAGCUAAAACAAGCUCUUAUUGAAUACAUGAUAGAUAAUGUCCCACUGACCCUUUUACUCUGAUACCCUGAAAUGAGAAAUUUGGAGGUUUUCCACAUCAAGCUUCUUGAAAUUACUGCGCCUUCUCGUAACAAAGAACUUUCCCCAGUUGUAUGCUCUAUACUUUGGCUUUUCCCCCUUCGUCAGCUCCUCCAAGGGCUUCACCCAAACAUGGUGCCCGGGACUCAAAACGAACGGAAUCGAGAACCUUUCCCUCUCUGAAUUCACCAUCACCCUGUGCUCCACACUUUCAUAAGUAUCGUUGCUCCAGACCUGGUUUAAUAUCAGUAGAAUUAACCAAAUGAGUGAAAAAUUCCUUGAGCCAAACACUACUGAUAAGCAUGUACUUGUAAUUCAAAGUUCUUGGGUGGUACCUGAACUAUAUCCCCAACAUUGAUGAUAUAAGCAUCUGGGGUGGGCUUAACUCGAACCCAUUCUCCAUCAGUUUUUCGCUUUACUUCCAACCCUCCAACAUCAUCCUGAGCAAGGAAAGUUAAGGCUCCGGAAUCCUUGUGGCGACCAAUGCCCAGAGCUAGGUGAGGAAUGGAGCAAGGUGGGUAGUGAUUGAGGCGGAUGAAGUUUGUUGAUUCUUCAAAGAGAAGAUUGAAUCUGUUCUCUGGCAAACCUAAGCUCAGAGAGAGGAGUCCCAACAGAUUGACAGCUAGUUUUUCCAUUUCUCUAGCAUAUUCUUCACAUACCUCCCUGUAUAAAUCAGCUCAAUUAGAACAAAAAAACUUAAGUAAUUCACUGUAGUGACUGUGCCUUAGCUGGUGGAAUUUGUACCUUAAUUCAGGAGGGUACUGAGGCCACUGAUUGAUCAGCUUUUCGAGCUCCUUGUCGUCAGGAUUAGGCGAAGCAGGGAUGAAGGCGGGGGAUGACGCCACGAUAUCAAAGACUUCCUUCCAGUCCCUAACGUUCUUGGUAUGCUCAGUAUCGAAAUACCCAAAAGGAUUCACCUCAUCUCUACUCACCUUCCUCUUCUCCUCCAAUGGCAGAGCGAAGAACUUCCUCGCCGCAUCCUCAAUUUUACGACGAGACUCGGAGGGCACCCCAUGGUUGAUGACUUGAAAGAAGCCCCAGUUCUUGCACGCAUCAGCUAUUUGAGAAACAUGGUUGGAAGCAUUGGCGGAAGAGAGAUCAAUGAGGGGGAUGCCUUCAGCUUCGAUAACAGCGAGCUUAGGCCUAUGUUGGGUGUCUUGGAUGAAAGCUGGAUCGACCUCUCCCAUGGCUGUGGUAGUGGUUAGAACUUAGAACUUAGAAAUGGCGGUUAUGCACUGCUGGUGUUAGCUGCACGUGAAGAUGGUGAGGGGGACUUGGCCACUUAGCAGGUGGUUUUUGUAGUGUAGUGGGGUUGGUUUAGUACAUUGAACCUGGACAUAAUUGGGGUUACGUUUUAAGUUUUGGUUGGGGGUGUGGGCUCAUGGGUUGCGCAAAUGUCAAUGAUAAUUGGUCAAGUGAUACCAAGUUAUUUCCAAAAUCUGCAGCCGCAAAGGGUAUCUCUCUCGAUGAUUUUGGCAACGUACAGCACUCUCCACAUUCAAAUGUUUGAUCAAAGAUACGUUUUGUUUAGUGUCGUGUAUAUUUUCGAAUUAAUUACUUCAUAUUUAGGGAUACGUUUUGUUGAGUAUCGUGUAUAUUUUCGAAUUAAAAACUUCAUAUUUAGGGAAAAGUGUGCUUCAAUACGCUAAUAUAAAAAUAUCAGCAAAAUAAGAUCCUAAUUUUUCAUAUUUUAAGGUUUAUAAUGCAAUUGGAAAUUAUUUGGAGAAUUAUGCAUUUUCAGCUCAUGUGUAUUUCAAAUCCAAAAUGCUCUCCACCUUGCCAGCCAAGUCUUACACGUUGAAAGUAAAGAGAGAAAAAAUCUUCAAAAAGCCACCAAAACCAAUUUCUCUUUCUUUUUGAGUUAUUUGAUUCAAAAGAUCAAUAAAAUCCAAUUUUUAAAAUUUAACCCUUUGUUCUUUUUUUUUUCAUUUUGAUAAAAAUAUCUUUACCAUUUUCUUGUAGAAAUAACAUUUUUUUUAAACCUAUAUGUAAAUACUUGAAAUGGUAAGAGACGUGUACAUUAAAAAAAAGUUAUUUUUCAAGUAAAAAUAUAGAAAGGAUUAUUUCAUCCCUUUUAACCAAAUAUUUAACAUGAUCAAGGACUAUUCCCUAAAUGAAGGCAUACGGUAGCAAAUACCCUUAAUCUAAACAUUAAAAGUACAACUUAUCUAGUAUCAAACACUCUGUUUUAAAACCCAUAGCCACUCCAAAUAUCCCAAAUAUUCUUUUCUAUGCAACCUCUCUCUCUCUCUUUCUCGCACAAACACACUAAAAUAUUUUCUCAAACUUGGAUUUUUCUCCACAACUCAACCCUAACUUCCUUUCUAUUUGUACCAAGGCUAGAGAAUAUAGUUUAUACUUGUAUUCCUUCAUGUACCAAGCCCACAAGAUGAUCAAUAAGUUUCUCUCUAGAUUUUACAUUGGAGUUGAUUGAUGAUAGUACCCUUAUUAGGUAGUAUAUUAUCUUCCUUAGGUACUGCUUUUUCCAUCCUUAGAUACUACCUUUGUAACCUUGGGUGCAUGAUUGAAUCCAUUGUUUCAUGGCUACUUCAAGUAAGUCAGGAACUUAUGUACAUGUGUGCUACAUGUCUUAUAGAUACUAAAUUUACAUUCUUUAGGUACUACCUUUACCUUCCAUGGGUACAAAUACGGUUAAUGAUAAGAAUUUUAAUAUAAAAAAGGGAAAAACCCUGCUUGAUAAUAAAAUUGCAUAUAUUUUCUUUCUUUCUUUCCUUUUUGAUUGAUUUUUUUUUUUUUUGGUCUUUGCUUUGGUUUUUAUUUAUGUCUUUGUUUCUUUUAGUCUUUGUGUGUGUGUGUUUUAUUUUAUCUUAUUUUCAUCUCUAUGCAGAAGAUGUAGAAGAAACAACAUCACAUCAUAAGGUGCAUUUUUCCGUUCAUUUAAGACUAAAGGUUUUGGAUUCACAAAAUGGUGGGAACUAAGGGUGAGAAGCUGGAAAAAUGUUGGAUUGAGCUACAUUUGAUCAAUGGUGAAUUUGCAAAAAAGAUUGUAGGAGAGUGUAGACCCUCAAUUUUGUCCCUUUAGCACAUGUUUUAAAGUCCAUUACCAAUACUUUACAGUAAUCUCUUGGUAGCCCAUAGCUACUCACGCUACUUACCUUUCUUGAGCCACCUCGGAGACUCUAGUUGAGGGAUUGCCUAACCCCUUAUUGUGACCCUUGGCAGUUUUGAUUUAGACUUAAGGUUUUCAUUCCUUCUUAGGAUAGCUCUUAGGUGCACUUUUAGGUCCACUUAGGCAUCACCCUUGGCUAAUUUAGACAUUUUGGGCCCGUUUAGACACCUUAAACUCGCCUAGAUUCACCUUAGACCCGCUUAAGCACUUCAUUGGGGCUCAACAUUUUUAUAUAAUCUCUUGAUCAUUAUUGCAUGCAUUUGAUGAUUAUAUUUUCUUUGUUUAUUCAUUUAUUUGUUUGUUUAUUUAUUCAUCCAUUUAUUUAUUCAUUUUUUAAUUUCUAUUACGUCUUGUUUUUUUUUUUCUUUCUUUCUUUCAUUUAUUUACCUACUUAAUAGAGAAUUGUUUAGAUAUUAAAUAUGCAUACAACCCCCUUAUUGAAUGAUGGAAUUGUACAAUCUGAUAUCUCAUUUUCUCUUUCAUUUUCUUUUAAUCGUAUUUCACUUUAUUACCAAUUUCAUGACUUUCAUUAGUUGCUUCUCUUUUCCUUUGAUUUUUUAAUCUUAUCUUAUUUUGUUUUGCAUAAGGAGCACCAUCUUGGGGAGUACAAGAGGAUCUACAUUACUGGUUUGAUCAACAUAUGUUUGAGACUAAAAGCCUUCAAGAUGGCAAAAGAUGGUCAUCACAGCCCCAUGCUUCUUCUUCCCAUCUCUCAUAAUUGAAGCCUCUGUACAAAACUUCAUCAUAUCCUGAACAAUAGCAGCCACAGCAGUUGCAGCCACAGCAGCUGCAGCCACAGCAACUGCAGCCACAACAGCUGCAGCCACAGCAGCUGCAGCGACAGCGGCAACCACAGUUAAUGCUGCAACAGCAGCCACAGCAGCAUAGACUGCAUCAUCCAGUUCAACCUUCAUUUGGUCAUUUAUCAGGGUUGCAGCCCCAACUAUUUAAUCCCCAUCUUUCCCCAGCUCCACUCAUCAUGAACAAAUAUGAAGCAAUGCUUGGGAUAGGUAAUCUGAGGGAUCAAAGACCCAAGUCAAUGCAAAAAGGUAGACCAAAUCAUCGGGUUUCUCAACAGGGCUUGGAUACUAGCAGUCGGAAGAGUGAUGUUGGUGGCCACAGUUCAGAUCCAAGUAUAUGACAGCUGAUGAAAUCGAAAGUAUCCUUAGAAUGCAACGUUGCGGAACAGAUGGAUGAGUAGAAAGGAAAAUAGCAUGAAAAUAGAAAGGAAGUGACCACUUUGUGCACAACACGCAUAUAGUGGGCUGUAAGGGGGAUUCUUUUUUGUUUAGAAAGAAAAGUCAACUUGUAUCACUUACUAAACGAGAUGUGGCUGCAUCCUUGAGGGAAUCUCCCAAUGAGCCACCAUGUAUGCACUUUCCUUAUCCAUGUGCAUUGAAAAAGGAUAUAGAAUAUUCAAUAGAGGAAAGGUGCUGCCAUAUAGAAGGAAGGUGCUGCCAUAUAAACAUGUCACAGAGAGAACACACGGUGGACUUUUCUUUUGGGAGCAGAAAUUCACAUACAAAAAGUAAUCUUUUUUAGAGGAGAUGAACACACGCAAGAGUUUUUUUUUGGGAGCGGUAGAGGACCUGAACGACUAAUUGGGCUGCCAUUUUGACACAUCAAGAAAGUAUUUUUCCAAUACAAUACAGGUUAGUUUUCGAUUUUUGAUACCGUAUUUCCUUUUUUUUUUAGUUUGGGUUUUAGUUGUUUGGUUUAAUUAAUUGUUUGUGAUAAAUUCUUUUAAAUCUCGAUUUCGAACAAUCUUUUAUUUUUCUUAUAUUAAAUGUCUAUCUUUUAUGAUUGCAAUUCAUUAGUUCUAUGCUAGUUUAUUUUUAAUUUACAUGAAAGUUUAAAUAAAGUUUAUAUUUUUAAUUCCAAUUAGUUUAUUUUUAAAUUUGAAUGAGUUAUCGAUCUUAAUUAUUUAGUUUAAUUGACCUUGUGAGAUAAAAUUUAUAUUUUUAAUUCUAAUUAGUUUAAUUUUAGUUUAUUUUUAAUUUGAAUGAGUUAUCGAUCUUAAUUCUUUAGUUUAAUCGACCUUGUGAGAUAAAAUUUAUAUUUUUAAUUCCAAUUAGUUUAAUUUUAGUUUAUUUUUAAUUUGAAUGAGUUAUCGAUUUUAAUUCUUUGGUUUAAUUGUCCUUGUGAGAUAAAAUUUAUAUUUUUAAUUCCAAUUAGUUUAAUUUUAGUUUAUUUUUAAUUUGAAUGAGUUAUUGAUCUUAAAUCUAUUAGUUUAAUUGGACUUGUAAGGUAAAGUUUAUAUUUUUAAUUCCGAUUAGUUUAAUUUUAGUUUAUUUUUAAUUUGAAUGAGUUAUUGAUCUUAAAUCUAUUAGUUUAAUUGGACUUGUAAGGUAAAAUUUAUAUUUUUAAUUCUAAUUAGUUUAAUUUUAGUUUAUUUUUAAUUCGAAUGAGUCAUUGAUCUUAAUCUAUUAGUUUAAUUGGUCUUGUAAGGUAAAGUUUAUAUUUUUAAUUCCGAUUAGUUUAAAUUCUAGUUUAUUUUUAAUUUGAAUGUGUUAUCGAUCUUAAUUCUUUAGUUUAAUCGAUCUUGUGAGGUAAAGUUUACAUUUUUAAUUCCAAUUAGUCUAAUUCUAGUUAUUCAUGUGUUUCUUGAAAUCUAAAUGUUAGUUUUUGAAUGAUAAUUUUGUUAGUUUGUUUGAUUAGGAAGUCAUAAAUUUGUUGUCUUAGUGAUUGUUGGUCAAUUUUUUUUUAGGACCACUGGAAACCCAUGAAGGUUGGCCUUUACUCUCACCACUUUAAUUGAUAAGAUUUUCUAAAAUCUUUAUUUCGUGAUCUUUGUUUCCUUUUGUUUUGAUUGAUAUUUUGUUUUCUAUUUUUGUUAUUUUAAAAAUUAAUUUCUUUUAUUUUAAAACAAAACUCUUUUUCUCAAAAAAACCCUUUUUAAAAUUUUUUUUUUAUUAUUCAUUUAAAGCCUCUAGAAUCAAAAUCUAUUUUCUUUUUUAAAAAAUAACAUGCAACCAUAUCUUAAUCAGUUUGCAUCCUUCUCAAUUUUCAACAAAAAUAUCCUUCUCAAUUUUCAACAAAAAUUUUGGUUUUAAACAAAACGCGAAUCAAAGCUUGUGGUCCCAAAUAAAUGGAACAAUUUUAGGCUAAAUUCAUGUAUAUUAAUUUGGGGAAUUGGUGAAACCCCUACAUAAGAAAAUCUUUUCAAAAUUUACUUUUGCUACCACCCUACUAUUUAUCAUAAUCAUAUUUACUUUUUUUCUUUUUAGGAAUUGUAUACAAGAUAUGUAUGAUAAUUAAUUAUUCCGAGUUCUGAUAAUUUUUGCUAAUUAAUUAGAUAAGCAUGCUAGGAUUUAUUAUUUAUUAUCUAUUAUCUAUUAUCUAACCCUCAUGUUCUGAGGAAGUGCAUUAGGAGUUAUAUAUGCUAUCCAGGUACGUUCCCAAAAUCUCAUGAAUAUGCAUGUCAUUACCCUUGUUUGAUGCCAUACUUGAUUGCCUCGAUGCUUGUUUGAUCAUCCUUGAUAAAAUGCAUGUCGUGUGUCAUAUUUCUGAAUUAACCAUUGAUGUUUAAUGAUAGUGCUUAAGAAGUGGUUCAGGUACGCACCCUAACUCUCCUUUAUUGUGAUUGAUCUCCUUAUUUAGCAUGCUACUUUCUGAAAAUCACCUAGCUUACUUAAGUAUCCAUAAUUAAUCAAUUAAUUGCCUCAUUUCCCCAAUUUAGUCAGUAAAGACCUCUUUAGGGCUUAGAAGGGUGCUACCUCCUAGAGGUACCUUCCCAAUAAGUAACCUGAUCCCCGGACCUAGACUCGGGUUUUUCAAAGACAUGUUUUUUUCAAAAAUUAUGGAGUCACAUUUUAGGGUUUUUCUUUCUUGUUUUAUUUUCCCUUUAAAAUAAAAAUAAAAUAAGUGGCGGCUCCAACUUUUCCAAAACUAAAUAAUUUUUCACAAAUAAAAAAAGAGUCUCGCCAAUCGAGUGGGGACGCAUGUGAAAAAUGCAGGUCCACAGAGAGGUUUCUUGAGGUGGACAAGGUCAGAAGCAAAGAGCCUUUCCCUACUUUUUGGGGUUGGUUCCUUGAGUUCUUAGGAAGAACUUAGUUAACGUGUGAAUUCAUUCAGGGUAAUUUAUGUAAGAUUUUCUAGAUUUUGCAAGUGAAUGCACCUUAGCUUUUCCUAUUGUAUUUGUGUUUUUUUAGGUUGAUUAUUUUAUUGAUUGUCACCACUCAAGGAAUGGAAGCAAUAGGGUCUCUAGAUGUAGUGCCUAAAGGCAAGCAUACAGGCGUUGUUAGGAGUGUGCUUCCCAUGUCCAACAAGCAUAUUGACACCACCCAAAGCCAAGGCAUCUUUGGACUAGGAGUUCUAGCUUCUACUUAUGUGGACUUUGUAGAUGCAGUCUGGCUCUUCGAAAUAUUUAUUGUUAUGUAGUAGUUAUACACAUGUACUUUGUUUAAGUGAAUUGAUUUUUGGAUUUUUACUUAAAUCAAAUUUAAGGGUAUGUUGUUUAAUUUACUAGAGAUCUCUUGUUUGUAAUUCUCGUUAUCAUAUAUAGAUCUUUGUUAGUAUUUGCCAAUUUCCUCAAUAGCAACUGUAUUAGUUAUCAAUGGAAUGAAUCUUGAGUAACUUGUAGUAUCAUUUUUGGUUUUGAAUUGGCUAAUCUUUUUUGGAAGAAUGAAUUAGAUAUAUGAGCUUGAUUGCAAGCAAUAGUUGAGUUUGUUUUGAUCUUGGGGUAUUUGCCUUAUUGAUAGGACAUAGAUUUUGGGUCCAAAUAGUUGGAAAUUGAUGAGCUUAACCAGGACAUAGAUUUUAUCCCCUUGGGAGAACCACAACACUAACCAGUGUUCCUACAAAAGCUAAUAACCAUGAUUUAGAAAUGUGAUUUCCCUAAAGGGAAGCAUUUCUAAUCUUAUUUGAAGGGAAACUUUGAUGUCUUCCUUAAUACACUAGAAUAUUAAUUUAAAAACAACAAUUAAGGUUAUAUUAACUAUUAUAAUAAUUUAUAAAUUACAUAAAUAUGAUAAUAACUAUUAAAAUAAAAGUAUUAAACAUAAAAAUGUUUAAUUCUGUUGGGUAAAAACUUCAUAAAUAUUUUAUUAUUGAACUUCUAUCAUAUGAUCAAACAUAGUGAUGAUCCUUAGUUGGAUUAAUUAACACUUGUUUCAUAAAUUGAACAACAUAUAACAUGAUCAAUAAACAAACAAGUAAACAUCAUACUAGAUAAAACUAUCUCUUAAGAUUUCAAUUAUUACAUGUUUAAAUUACAAAUCAUAUUUUUGCAACUUUCGUAAAGUUAUGCAAUAGAUAUAAUUAAAAUUAUGAAACAUUGAAAAUGUAUAUUGAUUCAUUAUUCAAAUUCAUCAUAUCAUAUAUAUACUUUAGUUGUCCAUAAGAUCAAAUAAUAACCAAAAUUCGAAAAAUAUGUUUUAUGAUCCAAAAUUGAUUGACACUAAUAUCAAUUGUUACAUAAACUUUAUGUGAAAUAAUUAUUUUGGAAAAUCAAUUUGGAUGCAUAAAGCAUAAUAGUUAUAAGAAAUAAAGAAAUGACAAAAUAAUAAUUAUAUUUUUGUCUUAAUCCAUGAUACCGAUAACACUUUUAAAGUGAGUUCGAGUCACUUUGUGAAUUGUUGGGUCAAGGUAUUCAACUCAUCAUUCUCAUUUAGUAGAUGAGACAAUUGUGUGGUAUAUGUUGUUAUAAGCAAAACAACUAAAAACAUAAGAAUACAAUACAACUUAGGACCUUAACUUUAAAAAAAGAUUUAUAACUCUUAAUCUUCUCAUAAAAGAUUAUAUGAGAGUUAUACUCAUUAUUUUUAAACAUUAUAUAUAAAUUAAUGGACAAUAGUAAACUACCAACUUGAAUACAUUCAUGUAAUUAUAUAAAUUACACUUUUUCAUCUUCCUCUAUUAGUCAUAAACUUUAUAUAUAAAUUAAAUCUCAUAAUGAUGGAGUUACAAAAGUUGUAAUACCAUAUUCGUAUAAAUGAAAAUUUUCUAACUCCAUAUUUAUAAUUUUAAUUUUCUAUGUUAGAAGUUGAAUUUGUUCCACAUCGCCAAGUUACCGGGUUAUUAUGUUGUUUAUAUAUGUGGAUUGGGCACCCUCUCCCUUUAAGCAAGCUUUUAGGGAUGAAUUAUAUUCAAACCCAUUUAACAUGGUAUCAGAGCUUGGUUUGACUGGGGGUCGUGGGUUCAAGCCACCUCUUCGCAAUUCGUAUGUUUGUUCCUCAUUUGCAUGUUUGAAAGUCUAGAAAAGGGUAUUUGCAUUUGUUUGUUUGUCCCUUCACGUGUGGAUAUGGGGCCACACAUAAGAUAUGGUGUUAAAAAGCAUGAAAUGUAUAUUGAACCCAAAUCUUAUAAGUUUAAGCUUUUAGGAAAAUUAGUAAUUCAACAUUCUAUACAUAAAAUUAUUUGAUGUCCAAUCAAUUGAUUCACCUACCUAUCAAUUAAUAUACUUUUAAAUAAAAUAUAUUUCAAUCCAUUACACAAAUAUAAUUAAAACAAAGUACUAUAAUAAUAUGAGUAUGUGACAAAUAAAUAAAAUAAAAAUAAUCACAUGUUACAUGUAAACUAUAUUCAAAGGAAAAACCACAAGUCAUCCCCACUAUUAAACAAUCCAUUGUAUAAUGAUCAAUUACAAAGACCAAGUAUUACCAAACUUAAAAGUAUCUAAAUCAUACUCACUUUGCACAUUUUCUUUAUACUUGGAUCCUUUAAACUCAUUUAUCCCAAUGUGGAAGCAUCUUGAGUUCUAAUCAAGGAAAUCAACCUUUACUUCAUCAAGUUAAAGUCUCUUUAUAUCAUUGACAACCAUAUCAAGAUUUCUUUUGUUGGUUGCUUUCAAAGUCCCACUAGAAUUAGAUUGAAAUUUUUAUAAUCUCUAGAACUUUAACAUAUUAAUUCUUCAAUGAGUCAAUCAAAUAUUAAGUUUUAUCUCCAUAGAUGGACCUCAAUGAAUUUUUCGACAAAGGUGUUAACACUAAUUUCAUAUUAGUAAAAAAAAAUCAUGUGACACAUAUUGAUAUAUAUAUAUAUAUACUAAUUUCAUAUUCAUAGAUUGAAUUCAUGAGAAAAUUAUUCUUAAUUUUGUAAAAAUUAUAUAUAUAAGAAAGUUUUUAGGCUUACUAAAACACAUUACUAACCAAGUGGCAAUAUAUUUAUAAUUUAGGUCUCAUUAUUUUGUAAUCAAGUUUCAUUCAUUUGUAUCAUAUAUGAGUCCUAUUAUGUCAUACCUUACUCUUAUUACAUUGUACUUUGAUCUUAUUUGUUUAAACAUCGAUUUCAUUUCUUUAUAUGUACAUCACAUUUAUUUAUAUCUCAAUCUUAAUUAUUUGUAUCUUUAUUUAACAGUUUAGAUUUCAUUACAUAUUUUUAAAAUUUUAAUUUGAAAUUCGAUAUCUUAGUAUUUUUCUAAAAUAGCUACCUAUAAUCCUUGUAGAGUACUCAAAAUUCACUCCAACCCAUAAAAAAAAAUGACCUCUCUUCGUAAGUUGCUAUACUCAUUGCUAAACUAUAAUUCCAAAAUUAGCAGAACUUUUCAUACUUAUUCUAGGCAAUUAGAGUUGAGAUGUUCCGGGCAUAUACCAUAUUCUUUCAAGAUUUGAAAGAAAUGUUACGAUUUCAGCAUUAAAUAAUGCAUGUCGAUUAACAAUAUUGCUCAGAUUCUUUAGGCAAAGGUCCACAGACAAAAAAAUUAUUUAUUUAUUUUCUGAACCACCCCUGAAAUUGACACCUCCCAUACAGUCUGAUCUGCAUUUCUGUGGCACUAUUUCCCUUAUUCCUAACCAUAAAUCUGCUGCCAUCUCAAUAAUUCACAUCCUUAUCCACUCCUUAUCUAGGGUUGUAACACUUUUUUCAAAAAGAUUUUUUUUUUUUUUUUUCGAAGGGGUGGAUAAGGGUCCUGAGACAAGCUGUGGUAUAAUUAUAAACCCACUUGGGUAAUGGUUUCAUUGUCAGGGUAAUUCUAUUUAAGGUGAAAAUCAGCUGGGUCUAUCAUUCUUGUUUCCAUGUGACUGUUUCCAAGGAGAACUCAACCCUCAAAUCCAUCGAGCAGUCAUAUAAAAAUACACGCAGAUUUCAUAUCUUGAAGCUUGUCCUGUGUUCAGAUCGGAUAACUCACUCAUAUGCCUAAUCACUAAUCGCCAACUUGAGUGUAAAAAAAGCGUGGGGCGAUAUUAUUUGUAUAUGGGUUUGACUGUUUGAGAGAGAAAGGUGGGGUGUCCCUUGGAGGAGUCCAAAGGCCAUUUUUGAACCUGCCUUUGAUUAUCGCCAUGGCAAAUCAACAGCUUGUAGUAUAUAUAUAUUAAUGGAGACCAAGACUCAAAUAGAGAGAGAGACGCGGGGAUGCGAUAAAGAGAACAGUAUAGCCAAGAGUAUAUAAGCAUUUCUCUUGCUGUAAUGGUGAUUCAGAGACUGGAAAUGUGUAUAUCACUGCUGAAAAUGGCAGUAGAGUUUGUGCUUGUUUUCGCGGAGGCAGUCGGGCUAGUCAUCAACCACAAUGCCACGCCGCUUUUGGCAAACUCAGCCUCAGUUGGCAAUGAUGUUUCUGUCCCUUUUAUCGGUUUUCUUCUUUGAAUUCUUCGUCUUGUAGUUUCCUUCCUUACCAGAAUGCUCAUUGGCCAUUGUAUAUGUUGAGGGUUCUUUUUUGCCUUGAUAGAUUUUCUAAAGGAUGUGCAUGUUUGAUAGGAGAGAGUAUAUAUACACAUCUAUGUAAACUUUGAUUAAAUUUUGUUCUGGGUGAGCUUCAUUUUCUGCAAAUUCAUUUGCUGAUAGCUUUGGAAACGAAUCUUCAGUUGUUUGGGUGCUGAUUAUUUGCUUGCUUCACACGAUUUUAUGUGCUGUUCCUUUGGUAAUAAUCUUGUUGGGUGGAUCAAGGAGAAGAGCGAAGAUCUGAGGGAAAAUAGAGUCUGGAGAAAGAAAAGAUGUAAUGAUGAUUAAGAAAGGCUUUAAUAUACUUGCAAGAUCAGGAAAAAAUAUUUCUUGGGUAUCAAUUAUUUUCUUGCUUGAUAUGGGUUUGAUACUCUUUUUCAAUUGGUGAUCAUUCUGGGAAGAUCAAGAAGAAGAAAAUGGGGUCUAGAUGAAGAAAAGCUAUAAUGGCGAUUAUUAAGUGGAAUCAGAUGAAAUAAAAGUCUGUUUCCAUCAUUCUUAAUAUGGUUUCUUUUGUCAAAAAUGGAAGAUGACUUGAUUUUCAUAGUCCCAGCAGGACUUUAGUACUCAUCAAACUCAUAAAUUUUGAACAACUUUGAGCUAACCUUCUGCAUUAAUUUGGUGCAUCUGCGCAGUUGCAGAGUAUGAACACCCACAAAAUCUUAAUAUGAAUCUUUUGGGGCAAUAGCUUCUAUAUAUGAUGGAUGAUAAGAACAAAGCAAAUCUUGGGUUCUCCAUGGGCACGAUCAUUUAUCCGCCAUAUAAAAUGCAGAUUUUCCUAACACCAACCCCUUAUUUUAAUAAAGUCAAGUUAUUUUAAGGCCCCCAAUAUUAGACAUGCCUUAGAAUCAUUGGGUCUGUGAUUAAAAAUGUAGUAAUAUCAUUUAAAAUACCUAACACUGAAAUUUUGAUAAUUUUGAAUGCCAUAGUGUGGAUUUGAAGAAAGAAAUCGCAUCCAAGAUCUCUUCCUUUUCCUGGGAAACAUUAGUCUUGGUCAAUUAUGAACUGUUACACGUUGCCUAUCAUGGUCAUAUUUAUAUUAGCUUUGAUUUCUAUGGGGGAUAUAAUUUAUUUGUAUGCUAAUCAUAGAGGUGAUACAUGUGAUCCACAUGUCAUAUUUGGACUUGGAAGCAAUCAUUGGAUUCCUUUGAUGAACUGGCAAUGGAAGAAUACUAAUUGCUCCGGUCCCUUUCUUUUUUCAAAGUAGGAUGAUCAGGUCCUUUGAUCCCUUCGACUCCCUCUGGCUGUUUUUCUUUGUUCUUUUUUCAAUCAUCCAUAGCUUAAAAUUAAAGCCUUGAUGCCCUCCUCGACUUUCCCAAGAUAAAACACCUUAUCUUCACUUUAUUUCUCUUCCCUUUAAAUUUGAUUUUAGAUCUGAAAUCCAGGGCUUAUGACCCUGUAGAAGAAAGACAGAUAUGAAGCUUGGGAUGAUUUGAACUUCAGUUUGAUUUUCUGCACACUCUGUUAAAACUCCUGAAAUAUAGUUGUAUAUUGCAAUACAUUUAAUUGUUUGAUACAUCUGAACUAUGAUGUUCUAUUAGUAAAAAUUUCUUUGAAUCAAUCCACGGCUCAAAGUACCAAUUUCUAUUGAAACUUUUUUUCUUUUCCUGCUCAUUCAAUUGUUUCAUUUUCCACAUAAUGGUAUGACAACAUCAAGAAUACUUCUCAGCAAUUGCCUGCAGGUGAACCCAAAGCUCUUUUGGCUUAGAGAUCAUGACCAUGUGAUCAGAUCCUUUAAUCUCUUUAACAGCAUCAGGUGGGUUUUUUUCAAUCAUCCAGAGUUGAAAAUCCCUUUUCCCCAGCUUGUCUUCCUCUGAAAUAAUAAAGACACGUUUAACCGAGGCAUAUUUCUUCGACAACAUGAGCUCAUUUGACAUGUCUUCUUCAAUGAACAAGCGUACGGGUCUCAUCAACACAGUCCCUAGUGCCAAGUCCUGGAAUAUUUGUGCCCGAAAUGAUAUGACAACAACAAUGAAGGUCUCAUGAUUUUGGUUGUAAGGCCUUAAUAAAUGGAGUUCUCACCUCAGUUGGGCUCAACUGAUACACAUUCAGUGAUAAGAACAAGGGGCCAAAGCUGAAAGUGGUGGGAGGAUUGUUGGGGCCAUUAUCAUAUGUGAACUGGCUGUCUAGUAGAGGACCUUGUCUCCUGAGUGACUUCAAUAAGAAGUAGAAACCAGGCUAAAAGUCAGAAACAGGGGAAGCCUUCCCCUCUUAAUCAGCAAGUAAAUUUCUGUAAAAGAAAAAUAGUAUGUAUGAAGUACCUCUUGAUUGAGAGUGGAAAUGUUGAGAGUGGGACCAGGCAUUGAGGCAGUAACAAAAACAGCUACAGAAACCUUUUCUGGGAACUUCUCCAUGGCCUGAGAAAUGGCCAAUCCACCCAAGCUGUGUCCAACGAGAACCACCCUCUCAUCUGCAGGGAGUGACUCCACGAAGUCCCUCAGUGGCUGGAAAUACCAAGAAAUUGAUCGCAGAUCACCCACUUGUUUUGGGUUAAUUCCAGAAGCAGCCAAGUCCAGAGCAGUAACUUUGUGGCCAGAUGAUUUUAGUAGUGCCACAAUCUUGUACCAAGACCAGGCACCAUGGCAAGACCCAUGAACUAGAACAAAGUGCUUGACGGGAUUAGCCUGUCUCCCCUCUGAUGCCAUUGGAUACACUGAAGAAACAAGAAAAAUCAGAAAGGAAACAAAAAUCAUAUGCUUCUUCCUUGCUUCCAUACUCCUUUCCUGUUACAGAGAUGGUCAGCACCCCAGCAUUUUAAAGGGCACAAUUGGGUAGGUUUUCACUACAACUACUAAUCUAAUUGAUUAAAAAUUUUCCCGUGAAAUUGACUCUAGAAAUAAAAUAAGGACUAAGGAUUCAAGAACACGUACACUUUGACUGCCAGAGUUUAUGUCUUUUCAUAGAUGACACAUGCACCUGCGUCACACUCUUUUUCAAUGAUAAAGAAGUUAUGCAAAGGAAGAAAGAAUGAAAUAUACAGAGUCAAGUAGUUAACUCCUCCCCUUGAAUUCUUCUCUUGCCCGGAUUGGUUUGUAACUGCAAACAUUUUCUUUUCCCAAUGUGAUCUGUGGAUUGAGUUCUGAUCUCAAUUUGUUUUUGGCAUUUUUGGUUUUGCUUCUGCAAAUCUUGAGAUGUAUCUUUCAAUUAAUAUAAGUUGUGCAGUUAAGGUUUUUGGACAUAUAAAAUGUUAGCCAAACCUUUCCCGUGGCAGGUUGAAGGUACUUUGGGGUAGGCUUGGUCAUGCUUGAUACCUCAGUCUGACUCAAACAUGAUGUUUUCACCCAUUUGAAUUGAUCAAAGUUGUGUUGACUGGCAUGAUUCCUUUAAUAAAGAAGUUGUUUUAGGAUUAAGGCGUACAACACAAAUUUGACUUAAGUAGAUCUAUUUAAUUAUUGUGUAUUAACAUAAUUAUAAUCAAUUGAGUCGAAAAUGAAUUAAAUUAAAAAGUUAAUUUUAUUGAUUUAAAUAAGACCUAAUUCAACCUGAUUAUUAAAUUACUCAACUUAUUAUAUGAUUUGAACACUGCCCACCAACAUUAAUUGUAACCCGUGCUUUGAGUUCAGGUGGCAGCAAGAGUUUGGCCUUUGUUUUGAGUGUUGGAUGAAUGUUGGAUUAACCUUUCCCAUGGCUGUCAAAUUCCUCAUAAAUUAUUGGUGAUUGUAAUAAUUUCCUCAAAAAGUAAUGGUGCUAUAUGCUUCUUUAGGAUCCAUUGAUCUUAAUAAUUCUCUUCCUGGUAUAGGAAGAAAGUGACUAUUCCAUUACUGCAGCUUUCAUUGCUGCUUAUUUAUCAAGCAAAUUACAUUAUUAUUUUCACACCAAAUCUCCAAAUUCACCAUGUACUUAUCCUAUAUACUGCAUGGUGAACUUCAGAGAGCUAAAACAAGCUCUUAUUGAAUACAUGAUAGAUGAUGUCCCACUGACCCUUUUACUCUGAUACCUUGAAAUGAGAAAUUUGGAGGUUUUCCACAUCAAGCUUCUUGAAAUUACUGCGCCUUCUCGCAGCAAAGAACUUUCCCCAGUUGUAUGCUCUGUACUUUGGCUUUUCUCCCUUCGUCAGCUCCUCCAAGGGCUUCACCCAAACAUGGUGCCCGGGACUGAAAAAGACCGGAAUUGAGAACCUUUCCCUCUCUGAAUUCACCGUCACCCUGUGCUCGACACUUUCAUAAGUAUCGUUGCUCCAGACCUGGUUUAAUAUCAGUAUAAUUAGCCAAAAGGGUGCAAAAUUUCUUGAUCCCAACAGUACUGAUAAGCAUGUACUUAUAAUUCAAAGUUCUUGGGUGGUACCUGAAUUAUAUCCCCAACAUUGAUGAUAAAAGCAUCUGGGGUGGGCUUAACUCGAACCCAUUCUCCAUUGGUUUUUCGCUUUACUUCCAACCCUCCAACAUCAUCCUGGGCAAGGAUGGUUAAGGCUCUGGAAUCCUUGUGGCGACCAACGCCCAAAGCUAGGUGAGGGAUGGGGCAAGGUGGGUAGUGAUUGAGGCGGAUGAAGUUUGUUGAUUCUUCAAAGAGAAUAUUGAAUCUGUUUUCUGGCAAACCUAAGCUUAGUGAGAUGAGUCCUAACAGCUUGAAAGCUAGUUUUCCCAUUUCUCUAGCAUAUUCUUCACAUACCUCCCUGUAUUAAUCAGUUCAAUUAGAACAAAAAAAAAAAAGUAAUUCACUGUAGUGACUGUGCCUUAACUGGUGAAACUUGUACCUUAAUUCAGGAGGGUACUGAGGCCACUGAUUGGUCAGCUCUUUGAGCUCCUUGUCGUCAGGAUCAGGCGAAGCAGGGAUGAAGGCGGGGGUAGGCACCACGAAAUCAAAGACUUCCUUCCAGUCCCUAACGUUCUUGGUAUGCUCAGUAUCAAAGUACCCCAAAGGAUUCACCUCAUCUCUACUCACCUUCCUCUUCUCCUCCAGUGGGAGAGCGAAGAACUUCCUCGCGGCAUCCUCAAUUUUACGACGAGACUCCGAGGGCACCCCAUGGUUGAUGACUUGAAAGAAGCCCCAGUUCUUGCAUGCAUCAGCUAUUUGAGAAACAUGGUUGGAAGCAUUGGCGGAAGAGAGAUCAAUGAGGGGGAUGCCUUCAGCUUCGAUAACAGCGAGCUCAGGCCUGUGUUGGGUGUCUUGGAUGAAGGCUGGAUCGACCUCUCCCAUGGCUGUGGUAGUGGUUAGAACUUAGAACUCAGAAAUGGUGGUUAUGCACUGCUAGUGUUAGCUGCAGGUGAAGAUGGUGACGGGGAUUUGGCCACUUGGCAGGUGGUUUAGUACAUUGAACCUGGACAUAAAUUGGGUUACGUUUUAAGUUUUGGUUGGGGGUGUGAGCUCACGGGUUGCGCAUAUGUUAAUGAUAAUUGUUCAAGUGAUUUUACCGACAUAAAACAAAAUCUGCCGCCCCAAAGGAAUCUCUCUCAAUGAUUUUACCGACAGCACUCUCCACAUUCAAAUGUUUCAUCCGUAUUUGAAUUGGAGUCUAAUACUCUCAUUGUUUAAUUAACUCCAGCUUGAUUAAUGAAUCCAGUGGUGUCGUGUAUAUUUUCGAAUUCUCUGCUUUAUAUUUAAACCUUCUUGGUUUUUAUGUUCUCAUCCAAUGGUUUAAAACCCAAAAACGAUGCAAAGAGAAAAAGAGAAAAAAAAAAAUAUACAACACAAUUGGAAUUAAAAUAUAUGUAAUAAAAAAAAUAAAAACUAAUUCAUUUUGAGUUUUAUUUUUCAAAAUAAUAACUCUAAUAUAAUAACUAAAUAAAUAAACAUAUAGUAAUUAAAUACAUAAUAACUAAAUAUAUUAAUGUCUUCUCAUAAUUGAGACUUUACAACAUAUACUCAAUUUUUAAACAAUUCUAAAAAAAUAAGUGAAAAUAAUUAAAAAUACUUAAAAUAUGUUACCAACAAAUACCUUAUUGUCCUAACAAAUCUCAAAAACCUUAUUUAGGACCAAUUGAAAAUCAAAAAAAAAUUCAUAUUUCUUUACUCUUGAAAAAAAAAAAUGGUUCUUGAUGACAGUCUCAAACAUAUCCUCCCAUUUGGUUAUUUUAUUGUAUAAGUUUUUCAAUAAAAUAAAAUAAUUAAUGAUAGUGUUUGUAAGGAAAAAUCAAAAUAUCAUACAAAAUUAAUACACAUCUUUUUAUUAUUCAAUAUUUCUAUAUCAUAUUUACAUUUUUUUUUAUAAAAAAAUUAUAUAUAUACAAUGUUUUAAAAACCGGAUCGGAUCGGCCGAUCCAACCGAUGACCGGUCACAUUUUCGGUCCGAUCCACUCUAUUAAACCGUUUAACUAUUGGAUCGGUUACGAACCGCCUAAACCAACGGUCAAACUGGUGAACCGAACAGUCCAUAUUGGCCCAUCAUUUUGCAAGUCCAUUGUAUAAAAAAUUAAAAGUUGUAGGCCAAAAACCAUACUAGGCCAUGUCUUAACAUGACAAAGCCCGCACCCAAACCAUUUAAGUAGGCUCAGUUUUGAGCCCACAAGGUGGGCAUGCUGUUGCUUUCAAUGAGGAUACUUUUUAUAGGCAUCCUUUGCACCCUUAUUUCUCUCACAAUCCGAUGUGGGAUUGCAAACUAAUAUGAUAAUAUCAAUGAAAAAAAUUUAACAAAUGCAACAAGAGGGAGGAUUUGAAGUGGGACCUCAGGUUUUGUAAAUAAACUAGGACACCACUCGGCUACUUAUUUGAUAUGCCAAACAAAACAAUAUAUGUUGGAUUUUAAUUUUUUUUUAAUAUUAAAUAAAAAUAAUAUAAUAUUUUUAAAAAUUAUAAAAUUAGUUAAAUUUUUCAUUUUGAAUAUAUUCACAUUUAAAUAUUGUACACAUUUCAUUUAAUAUGAUUUAAUUUGAUAAUAUCAAAUAUAUAAAAUAAUAUUAUUGAUUUUUAAUUUAUUCAUAUAUAUUUUAAAAUUUUUAUAAUUAUUUUUAAUUUUAAUAAUAUAUAAAUUACAUAUUUAUGACGUCAUCGGUUCGACCGCGGUUCGACCAUCGAUUCGACCGCGGUUUGAUCGGUAAACCGUGAACCGGUAACUUUUUCGAUUCAAUGACCCAUCCGGUUCUGAAAACAUUGUAUAUAUACAUAAUUUUAUCAUUUUUUUAAGUUAUAUUUAAAAUUUUCAUAUAUUUAAUCAAUUUACUAAUAUCAAUAUUUCCUUACAUAUUUUAAUAGUCGUAACCAUACAAAAGAUUGUCAAAUUAAAGGAAACAACACAUGAAAUGAGGAUGUGGAAAAAAAAAACACGAUAACAACGAAAUCAUGAUUUGUUUUUUAUUAUUCAAUAUUAUUAUAUCAUAUUUACAUUUUUUUUAUAAAAAAAUUAUAUAUAUACAUAAUUUUAUCAUUUUUUUUAAGUUAUAUCUAAAGUUUUCAUAUAUUUAAUCAAUUUACCGAUAUCAAUAUUUCCUUACAUAUUUUAAUAGUCGUAACCAUACAAAAGAUUGUCAAAUUAAAGGAAACAACACAUGAAAUGAGGAUGUGGAAAAAAAAAACACAAUAACGACGAAAUCAUGAUUUGUUUAAGGCGAAGGAAAUAAUAGUGAGAUAGACAAAGCUUAUAAUAACAAAGUACUGACAUUAUUAAUAUGUGGAAUUUGGUUUUCAGUUUUUUUUUAGAUUUUUAUAUAUUAUAUCUAUAAAUCUUAAUUCAAAUCUAAGUAAUACUUAAUAGAACUAUGAUGUUUGUUUUUUUUUUUUUUUUGUUUCUUUUAUCUAAAUCUUAAAGCAAUUUGCUUAAAAAUUGAAAUCAUUUUUAAAAUUAUUUGUUUAUUUCAUUUUAAUAGGAAAAAUAAAUAAUUUUACUUUUAACUAUGUAUACCUUAGUGAUGGGAUCAAAUUCCCAACGCAAUCAGUUUGAAUAACAACAUAUGAUUGAAGACGAUCAUCGCUAAAAGCUCUAUAUUCCCCAACCCAAUCAGUUUGAGCUCAAAACCAAGCUGCAAUUCAACCUAGUUUUGCAAUGGAUUGCAUCAGAUUUGUUUCCAAGAAGAUAAAAAUAAAACGAAACUUGGAAUAAGCAUCAAUGAAGUGAAUGUGAAACUGAUAGCCAAUAGAGGAUUGUGUAUUUGACACUCCCCAAAAAUCUGACUGCAUUAAUUUGGAGCAGUUCCGUAUAUUGAGUUGCAGAUAAUGGAAAUGGGAAUUCAUGGAUUUUGCCCAGACAACAUGUUGAAUUGAAACUACUCAAUUCAACAGAAAAGAAGCUACCAUGAUGGAGGUUGAGGAGUACUCCAUUGUUGGCAGUGGAGGCUCUCAUACCGUCUGAAGAAGCUAAACCAAAAGAAAUUCCAGCAGAAAAGAAAUGCUUUUUCCCUCAUCUAAAUAAUUGAUUACAAAAUUCUAUACAUAGCUAAUUGUAGAACAAACUUUAAUUAUCUGGAACUGUGAUAACAAACUACUAAUUGGGUCAACCAACUCUCUUGGCAUGAUUUAUUUAGAGUCCAACACCAUGAUUUUUCAGGGACUAAAAGUGGAAAAUGGUCUUACAACAUCAUUGUUCGGAAACUCUGAAAUGAUGAAUCUGAAUGUUUUCGACAGUUUGCUUCUUGAAAUCACUCCUGUUUCUAGUUGCCAUGAACUUUCCCCAGUUGUACUCUUUAAAUUUAGGGGGGUUUUCCUCAUUGGUCAACUCCUCCAAUGGCUUCACAUUCACAUGAUGCACCGGUAAGAAAAAGAAUGGAAUCGAAAACCUUUCCUUCUCACUAUUCGCCACCACCAUGUGCUCCACGCUCUCAUAUUUAUCAUUGCUCCAAACCUGUAUAGUGUUGGAUAAAUAUUGAGAAAAAGUAACACCAAUUUCUCCAACAUGUUUUUCUUUUUUUUUAAAUAAUAAUAAUAAGAUACAAUAUAUAAGACCUAGCUAUUAUAAUACCUAUAAAAAAAACUCAAACCAAUCACAACAUGUCAUGUAUAUAAUUAAGUUUAUUUACUUCGUAUAUGAUUUCAUUUUUCUAGAUCUAGUCUCGAUACUUUUAUCCCUAUCCAAUGCUCUAGAUUUUAUCCUAUACUUUUGAGGAGGUUUUGAAUUGAUAACCUACAAUUUUCCAAUGUGUACAAAUGAAAUUGAAGUCAUUUGAUGGAUCAUACCUGAAUAAUAUCACCAACAUCAAUGAUAUAAGCAUUUGGAAUAGGCUUUACUCCAAUCCAUUCACCAUCAACUUUUCCCUUCACUUCCAACCCUGUGACACCAUCUUGAAAGAGAACGGUUAAAGCUUUGGCGUCCUUGUACCGACCCACAACGAGAGAGCUUCGGCCACGAGAACGGCGGAGAGUGAUAAUUGAGUCGGAUUAAGCUGGUUUGCCAUUGGAAUAACUCAUUCAACUAGUCCCCGGCCAAGCCUAAGCUUAAGAAGAUGAGUUCUAAGAACUUGUUGGCUAAUUUUUCUAUUUCUCCAACAUAUUCUUUCCAAAUUUUCAUGAAAAUAAGUCAUUAUAUAAAAUAUAUCAAUACUCAAAAUGAAUUUAAUAAAAUCUUGCCAUGCCUUUACGUCUCUAUUUGAGUUUGUUUGCCUUUGAGUUGUGCCUUUACGUCUCUACUUGAGUUUGAUCGACUUUGAGUCGCAUUUUUAUGCCUCUAGUUGAGUCUAUUUAGCUUCAAGUCGUGCCUUAACAGUUCGAGUUUAGUCUAUUCGGCUUCAAACCGCACUUUUACAUCUCUUUCAUCUUUGAGCCACGUAUUUAUGUCUCUAGUUGAUUUUGUUUGACUUUAAGCUGCACCUCAUGCCUUUAGUUGAGUCUGUUCAGCUUCUAGUCGUGCAUCUAUAUUUCAAGUUGAGUUUAUUUGGCUUCAAGUUGUGUCUUUACGUUUCAAGUUGAAUCUAUUUGGCUUCAAGUUGAAUCUAUUUGGUUUCAAGUCGCACCUUUACAUCUCUAGUUGAGUCAGUUCAACUUUGACCCACGUCUUUACAUUUCUUGUUGAGUUUGUUCAACUUCAAGUCAUGCUUUUAUGUCUCUAGUUGAGUUUGUUUAGUUUCAAGCCACAGCUCUACAUCUCUAGCUGAGUCUAUUCUGCUUCAAAACAUGCCUUACAUUUCAAGUUGAGUCUAUUCGGCUUCAAGUUGCGCUUUUGCAUCUCUAAUUGAGUCUAUUCGACAUUGAGCUACGCCUUUACUUUUCAAGUUAAGUCUAUUUAGCUUCGAGCAACGCCUUUAUAUUUGGAGUUGAGUCUGUUAGGUUUCAAGCUACGCUUUUACAUCUCUAGUUGAGUCUAUUCGACUUUGAGUCAUGCCUUUAUGUUUUGAGUUGAGUUUAUUCAACUUUGAGUUACAUUUUUGCGUCUCUAGUUUAGCAUGUUCAACUUGAAGCAAUGUCUUAACGUUUCAAGUUGAGUUUGUUCGGCUUUGAGUUGCGCCUUUACGUCUCUAGUUGAGUUCGGCUUCGAGUUGUGCCUUUUUGUUUCGAGUUGAGUUUGUCUUAACUUUGAGUCACACCUUUACGUCUCUAAUUGAGUUUGAUUGGCUUCAAGCUGCGUCUUUAUGUUUCAAGUUGAGUUUGUUCGGCUUCAAGUCGUAGCUUCAAGUCAUGCCUUUAUGUCUCUAUUUGAGUAUGUCUGGCUUCAAGCCACGUCUUUAUGUUUUGAGUUGAGUUUGUUAGGCUUUGAGUUGCACCUUUACGUUUCGGGUUGAGUUUGUUCAGCUUUGAGUCACAUUUUUAUAUAUCUAGUUGAGUUUAUUCGACUUCGAGCCACACCUUUGAGUUUCAAGUUGAGUCUAUUCGGCUUCAAACCACACUUUUACGUAUCUUGUUAAGUCCUAUUCAGCUUCGUGCUAUGCCUUUACAUUUCUUGUUGAGUUUGUUCAGCUUUGAGUAUCGUCUUUAUCCUUAUUAAGUUCAUUCGGCUUUAGUCGUGCCUUCACCCUUAUCCUUAGUUUUGAGCCUAUUUGACUUCAAGCCAUGCGUUUGUCCUUGUUAAGUUUAUUCGGCUUCAAGUCGCCUCCUAGUUUUAAGUUUGUUUGGCCUCAAGCCGCACAUUCCCCUCUAUUUGAGUUCAUUUAGAAUUUUCCCCUUCCUCGAGUUUAUUAUGACAUUCUCUUCCUUCAAUAUCAUUUUUUGUGAGUUAAUCACUUCUUAUCUUGGUUGUCCUUGAGUUGUAUGUUGUGUCACGAUCUAGUGUUGUUCAUUGCAUAUACACUCCCCACAUUAUUUGUAUCUUUAUCUUAAGUUUCUUCCUUAGUAUGUGAUCCUGAUCUUUGAGCUUAGCAUGCCAUGUGUUAUGAAAAAAUUAUGAGUUCUCUUUUGUUCUUCAAUGCAAUUCACUUCAUACCAUUCAUCACUCAUGUUUCACUCUUCGUGUUCAGUUCACUCAUGAACUAUAUCAAAUAAGGGCAUAUUUAUAGACCCUCCAUUUUGUCUCAUAGCACGUAUGUUUGCAUUUUUUAUUUUCCUCUCGCCCCAUGCCCAUUUUAAUUUGGUGUCCGUUUGGAUACUUCUUGCUUAAUCAUUCAUCAUCCCUUAUUAGUUCACAUUUACUUGGCUCAUUAAUCAUUUUUUAGCCACAUUUUGGAGGCCAUUUAGGGCGAUUUUGGGUCUAAGCUUUUUUUUUUUAGAGGCUCUCAGUAGAUGGCUCAUAAUGAGGACACGUGUUUUUAAAGGGGUCUUCUAGAGGCUUCUAGGGUCAGUUGGGAGAGCACGUUCUUAUUUAUAUAUCUAUUGUUUUGGAGGUGAGUUGUACACCAAGAGAAUGAGGGAGUAGAUGGAGGUUUUUUAAACAUUGUAAGAGGAGAUUCGUUUUGAUUGGCAUUUAUACCAAUAAAAUCUUGGGAUUACUGAGAACUCAACGGGACCUUCCCUCUCAAAUCAUACAAACUUGGCCAAAGAGGGGUGGGUACCAUUGAGUUCUUAGGCUUUCAUGUCGAUAACUCAAUUCAUCUUAUUACUAAAGGGAUGAACCCAAUCCGGAAUAUGAACCAAAAAAGAAAAUGUCUAUUAAAUUGAUGACAGGAAUACCAGUUACAGUAGCUAUUAGCCAAAAGGAAUCCUUCCAAGUUGGAGGUGGUUAGAGAGAGAGAAGGCUGGGCGAGAGAGAGAGACACGUAAAGAGAAUAUUCUCUCUGGUGAGGGUUUGUUAGACGGGAAGCAAGAAGCUUGAGGGUAGAGAGGACAAUCAGAGGAGGAGUUUGGAGGAAGAGGGGAAGGGAGCUCGAAGGCAAGCAGAUCAGUGCUUGAGGGGACGUUUUUCCAAGUAUGAUUAUUGGGUCUCUCAUUUUCCGCUGUUCUCCUUUCCUUCCCGGUUGAUCUCUGGAUUUUAGUUGAUGCUUUGAUAUGGAUUCCAGAUGCCACACUUCAUCUUGUUGAGCAUUGGUUAGCUAUGGACUUGUUACUGCUACUCUUCUGUUUCUUUUGAGUUAACUUUGGAAAUGAAUCUGAAUAUAGACUGGUAUUUGCUGCUUGAUGUUUCGGGAAUCAUAUUUUAGUUGUUUAAAAUUCAUUCUGGCAUGUUCGGUUCCUUCAAGCUCAUUGAUGAAAUAAUGAAAUGGAGCUCUAUAUAUUUGUUAAUGGGUUGGUUCUCUGUUUGGUUAUCUUUUAAGUUCUUCCUCUUCUCUUUUCUCGUUGCCUUCUCUUCUCUAGGGGGGUGUCGUUUGAGCAUAUGCAUACUAGGAGAAAUGGGGAGCUGGAGGCUUAUCCUGGCAUCAACCUCGCGUUGGGGACGGCUUGAUCGAAGAACAUAUGAAUUUUUCAGAUACCUAGAACUUACAUCAAAAGAAGCCUCGGAGUCUAGGUCAAACACAAACACAUCCUUUGCCUUGGUGAUUUUAUUGACUUCUGCAUGAUGGGCACCCGAGGGUGGGGACUGGAAGAGAAAUGAUGAAUCUGCCUAAUAUAGUUUGUCUAGAAAGGAGCUUGUAUUAAAUGAUGGUUACCCACUGUGUCAGAUGCUGAAAUCUGGGUAUGAGGACUCCCGGUGGCAUCGGAAAGAUGAGUCGCACCAUUCUUCCCACAGUAGAAAGCUUGACCUCCGAAUUUGGGCUUUUUCAUGGCCAGACGAGAGGAGUGAUCGCAAUAGUGCGAGCAGAGCCAGUCAAAUUAAGCCUGUUAUCAGAGGAGUGAACCUACUGCCUUGUUCUAUCUCCGAUGGUCUGCUCAGCUCCUUCAACCUCCACCGCUCUCCUCUUUCCAAGUUCUCCAUUUUCAGUCUAGAGCCAACAAGAGUCGCAGAAAUCCUCAAAGAUUGACCUACAUGGUAUCGUGAGUACCUCGAUGUGGAUGUUCUUAAUGAGUUGUCAACUGGAGCCAAAUGGGUGUUUGAUAAGACCCAGUGAAGAUGUAAAAAUUAUAUAAUGAAGCUUGCAGAAAGACUCAAGGGUUGAUGGAAGGCAUCUCAACGAAGUUUGGCUUUUGUAUUGUGAAUCUGGCAAAUUACCUAUACUGCAUGGAUCAUCACUCUUUUCACGUGGAGGUACACAUGUCCUUUGUACUGUACACUUGGGGCAUCACAACCUGGUGAUGAUCAACGACUGGAUCCUCUGGUUGGUCCUCCAACAAAGCGCUUCAUGCUUCACUGAAAUUUCCCGGAGUUCUCGAUUAACGAAGUUGGCCAGCUUCUUAACCUGCACUGUUCCACAGAAGUCGCAUAAAGAUUUGACAUUGAAAUUGAUGUGGUUUUUCCUUUGCCAAUGGUGGUGGGCGCGCUUUGUAUGUAGAUUCCGAAGGAACUUCCAACUUGAUGGCUGUGAGUGGUAAUUAGGUUGGAGAAGAAACUACUGGGUCUGCCCCAUUAGUUUUCCAUUGUUAAGGUAGUUUGGUGCACAGCUUUCUGGAUCAUCUACACCACCAGCACCUCCAGCCGCCUGUUUUGAUCAGUUUCUGGAUUUCCAUCUCCAAAUUGUGCAAGCAGCGACUGAUUUGGUGUCCAUACAAGCGGCUACUGAAAUGGUUCAAACCUCAAAUGCUGAAGGGAAAGGAGCUUUUGGAAAAUAUCAUGAAGAAGACUCACCCAUCUUACAUGAAAUUAUACACAACUCCAUGGACCAGAACCGGAACUCAGACUUAAAUUUGUCCAAGAGAAGAUCAGUGUUAUACAAGUCAAUUGCAGUCAUUCCUGAAAGAAGUGAUCAGAAGAGUAAACCUGGAAAAGCAGCGAGUGAAACAAGGUCUGUGACAUUGAACAAUUUGCAGAUGGGUGUUCCCACAAGCUCCUUUCCCCUCUUCCCACGUGCAUGAAAUUCCUACAUGCAUGGCCACCUUCUUAGGUGUGCAAUUCGGUGCAUAUGCUCAAGCGUACUACCCCCCUCUUCUUUUAAAAAAAAAAUGAUUUUAAAUUUAAAUUUUUGACAAAUUCAUUUCCCUUUUAAAAUCCCUCCUCAGUAAUUCUCUUCAAAUUAAUAAAAUCUAUUUUCAAUAAAUUUCUGCUGUCAUCUUCCUUUUGGCGUGGACCAUUUUUCUAUUUUCUUUGAUUUUUAAUAAUUUUCUGAUUUUUUUUAAUAAAUAUGAAUAAAUUCUAUGUUUUUUAAAAUAAUGGAAUUUUCUCCAAAUUUCUAUUAUCUUUUUCUCCGAGAUCAUUAGGAAGAUGAAAUUCCUAAAAUUAAUUCAUGCAAAUAAAUUGGACGUUGGUGGGUCCAACAUAUGAAUUUUUCUCUUUUGAUUAUUAAUUUUAAUUGCUACGCUUGAUUGAUUAAUGAUUGAUCUCUACCUUGCUCUAACAUACAUAAGAUUUAUUGUGUUUGUGAUUGUACACUAACCAUGUUUCCCACGAAACGCUCAACUUAUUGCUAUUGUACGUUCCUUCCUUCUCCUAUUUGUUUAAGUAUAGCUCAACCAUAAUACAUCACUGAUAAUUACUUGGUAUCUAUUGAUUUUUUGAUCAAUUGUCAUAUACCUUAACGUAAUUAUCAGAGACCUGAUUUUAGGGUAUAGAGGGGUUUUACAACUUAUUAUCGUACCUUUUCAAUAAGUAACCUGACCCUCGAACCCAAACUCGGUUUUUUAUAAACCUGUACUUUCCUUUCAAGUUUCAUAUUUAGAGUUUUAUUUUUUAUUUUGUUUUCUAUUUAAAAAUAAAAUAAAAAUAAGUGUCAAAUUUAAAACCAUAUUUUCUAAAAAUCAAUUGUUCAUCAAUUUAAACUGAGUCUUGUCUUCUUUUUUUUUUUUCAAGUGAGGACAUGAUCUCAGGUCCACAAUACUAUUUUAAUAUAUAUCAUGAAAUAUAGAUAUUAACGUCAUCUUAAAGAUAUAAUUAAAUUUUUUGUUUAAAAUAAAUUAUAAUAAUUUAAAAAUAAUAUUUUAUUUAAAAUAAAUUUUAGAAUAAGCAAAGUUAAUAAGUGGACAUAGAGAAUUAUGAACCAUUGUAAAUGUAUUGAUUAUAUCUCUUUCUUCCCAUUUCAUUUUUACUCUAGUUUUUAUUAUUCGCAUCUUUUUCUACUAAAAUUUGAAAAAGAAAUUCACAUUCAAUUCAUUCGCUUCUUCUUGGGUGUAUGUCAUAGGAUUCAAAUUGUUUUUAAAAAAUAUUAAAUUUGUUAAUUGUGGCUAUAUGCUUAUUUAGGAUCCAUUCAUCUUAAUAACUCUCUUCCCGAUAUAGGAAGAAAAUGGCUAUUCCAUUAAUCCAGCAUGCAUUGCUGAUUAUUUAUCAAGCAAAUUACAUUAUUAUUUUCACACCAAACCUCCAAAUUCUCCAUGCAUAUACGCAUCCUAUACUGCAUGGCCAACUUCAGAGAGCUAAAACAAGCUCUUAUUGAAUUCAUGAUAGAUGAUGUCCCACUGACCCUUUUACUCUGAUACCUUGAAAUGAGAAAUUUGGAGGUUUUCCACAUCAAGCUUUUUGAAACUACUGCGCCUUCUCGUAACAAAGAACUUUCCCUAGUUGUAUGCUCUAUACUUUGGCUUUUCCCCCUUCGUCAGCUCCUCCAAGGGCUUCACCCAAACAUGGUGCCCGGGACUGAAAAAGAACGGAAUUGAGAACCUUUCCCCCUCUGAAUUCACCAUCACCCUGUGCUCCACACUUUCAAAAGUAUCGUUGCUCCAGACCUGGUUUAAUAUCAGUAUAAUUAGCCAAAUGGGUGUAAAAUUCCUUGAGCCAAACAGUACUGAUAAGCAUGUACUUAUAAUUUAAAGUUCUUGUGUGGGACCUGAACUAUAUCCCCAACGUUGAUGAUAUAAGUAUCUGGGGUGGGCUUCACUCGAACCCAUUCUCCAUUGGUUUUUAGCUUUACUUGCAGCCCUCCAACAUCAUCCUGGGCAAGGAUGGUUAAGGCUACGCCAUCCUUGUGGCGUCCAGCGCCCAGAGCUAGGUGAGGGAUGGGGCAAGGUGGGUAGUGAUUGAAGCGGAUGAAGUUUGUUGAUUCUUCAAAGAGAAGAUUGAAUCUGUUCUCUGGAAAACCUAAGCUCAGAGAGAUGAGUCCCAACAGCUUGAAAGCUAGUUUUUCCAUUUCUCUAGCAUAUUCUUCACAAACCUCCCUGUAUAAAUCAGUUCAAUUAGAACAAAAAAAUCAAGUAAUUCACUGUAGUGACUGUGCCUUAGCUGGUGGAAUUUGUACCUUAAUUCAGGAGGGUACUGAGGCCACUGAUUGAUCAGCUCAUUGAGCUCCUUUUCAUCAGGAUCAGGCGAAGCAGGGAUAAAGGCGGGGGAUGACACCACGAGAUCAAAGACUUCCUUCCAGUCCCUAACGUUCUUGGUAUGCUCAGUAUCGAAAUACCCCAAAGGAUUCACCUCAUCUCUACUUACUUUCCUCUUCUCCUCCAAUGGGAGAGCGAAGAACUUCCUCGCGGCAUCCUCAAUUUUACGACGAGACUCGGAGGGCACCCCAUGGUUGAUGACUUGAAAGAAGCCCCAGUUCUUGCAUGCAUCAGCUAUUUGAGAAACAUGGUUGAAAGCAUUGGCGGAGGAGAGAUCAAUGAGGGGGAUGCCUUCAGCUUCGAUAACAGCGAGCUUAGGCCUAUGUUGGGUGUCUUGGAUGCAGGCUGGAUCGACCUCUCCCAUGGCUGUGGUAGUGGUUAGAACUUAGAACUUAGAAAUGGCGGUUAUGCACUGCUAGUGUUAGCUGCACGUGAAGAUGGUGAAUGGGGACUUGGCCACUUAGCAGGUGGUUUUUGUAGUGUAGUGGGGUUGGUUUAGUACACUGAACCUGGACAUAAUUGGGGUUACGUUUUAAGUUUUGGUUGGGGGCUGGCGUAGGCUCAUGUGUUGCGCGAAUGUCAAUGAUAUUUGGUUGUAUGAUUUCCAAAAUCUGCAGCCCCAAAAGGGAAUCUCUCUCAAUGAUUUCGGCAACAGCACUCUCCACAUUCAAAUGUUUGAUCCGUAUUUGAAUUGGAGUCUAAUACUCUGAUCAAAGAUACGCUUCGUUUAGUUUCGAGUACAUUUUCGAAUUUACUAAUUCAUAAUUAGGGAAAAGUAUGUUUCGAUACGCUAACAUAAAAAUAUUGAUAAAUUAGGUUGAAACCAAAAAUGCUCUCCACCAUGCCAACCAACCCUUACAUGUUUGAAAAUAGAAAAGAAAAAAAAACCACCAAAACCAAUAUCUCUUUCUUUUCGAGUUAUUUGAUUAAAAAAGUCAAUGAAAACCUAAUUUUUUAAAUUUAAUUAUUUGUUUUUUUUUUUUGUUUCAUUUUGAUAAAAAUAUUUUUGCUAAUUUCUUAUAAAAAUAACAAUUUUUUUUAAAACCUAUAGGUAAAUAUUUGAAAUAGUAAAUGACAUUUAUAUCAAAAAUGUGUUACUUUUCAAGUAAAAAUAUGGGAAAUGUUAAAUUUACAAUUUAAGGAUUAUUUCAUCGCUUUUAACCAAAUAUUUUUUGCUUUUUUUAGUUAUUAUUUUGUCUUUUGACAUAAAUCUUUCUAAAGAUCUAGAGGAUCCUGAUAUUAUUUUUUAGGCAGCCAAACAGACCUAGAAGGAAAGAUGACCCAAAAUGGAGGUGUUUCGACAUUUUCAAAAAUCCAUGUCGCAUCAUUGAAUAGAAGGAUCUGCCGCUAUUGCCAUUUUUUCAAUCCAUAGAGACUAGAAACAAUGAUAAGCAUGGAGAAAGUGCGAGAAAAUUUGAAGAAAUCAUGGAUGAAAGGCAAAGGCAAAGGUGUUUAUAGCCCCAAGUUAGGGUUGCCGUAGCUCUUCCUCUCAUGGUCCUUUUUUCUUUCUCGUUGGACUCUUUGGAUCAAUGCUUUUUCUCUCAGGUCUUUUCUUCUUUUUUUUUCAUCCUUUUGUACCUUUUUUAAUGGAUGUCAGCCACUUUCGAGUCGAGUUCAUUACUUCCAUUAGGGGUCUCCAAAAAGCCCGCGGCCCGCUUUAGGCCCGGCCCGGCCCGACGGGCUAAAGCCCGGCCCAAGCCUAGCCCGAGCCCGUUUAUGGGCGGGCCGGGCCUAAAUUUAGGCCCGUAGGCCCGCCCUUAGGCCCGCCUUUAAUUUUUUUAAAAAAAAUAAUAUACUAUAUUUUUAUAUAUAUAUAACUAACUCAUUUAAUAAGCACAAAAGAAAUGUAGCUCAGUUGGUUAGAGCCUUGAAAUUUAUGCUUGAGGGGAGGGGUUCGAAUCCCCCCCUCUUCCUUUCUUUAUUUAAAAGCCAUUUUGGCUUAUUUAAAAAAGCCCGCGGGCCUAGCAUUUUAGCUCGGCCCGGCCCGGCCCUGCCCGUUGACCAGUCAACGGGCCCAUAGGCCCGACCCGAGCUGGGCCGCGGGCCUCCUAUUUACGGCCCAGCCCGGCCCGUUGGAGACCCUUAACUUCCAUGAUAUUUGCAUAUAUGGAUGUGGUCUGUGCCAUUUAAAUUUUAACCCUUCAAAAUGGACUGCAGAAUUGGUAUUGAAUAUUAGGAGUUGUAUAAAUAAAACAAUUGGAACUUUUGACUUUAUACUUAGAACAUGAUCAGGGACUUUUUUUUUUCUUUUUUUUUUUUUUUGGGAUACAUAACAUGAUCAAGGCCAUUCCCUAAAUGAAGGCAUACUGUAGCAUAUACCAAUUUAUGAAAAUGCUAUUUAAGUUGGUUUUUUUUAUGUAACCAUUCUACCCUUAAUCAGAACAUUAAAAGUAUAACUUUAAACUAGUAUCAAACACUCUAUUUUUAAACCCAUUGCCACUCCAAAUACCCCAAAUAUUCUUUUCUAUGCACCCUCUCUACUCUCACAUAAACGCCUCUCUCUCUCUCUCAGACACACACACACAUAUUCUUUCCCACAAAAAUAAAUACACACAAAGUAAAACACAAUCUUAUCCGAUUCCCUUCCAAUUUAUGAUUCUGAGUUGGUGGGUCACUCUCUUGUUCUUUUGCUUUCUUGGCAUGGAGCUCCAUGCUUUCCUUCCCUCAUUUUUUUAUUUUUAUUUUUUUCUUGGAUAAAUACUCUAUAAAGUGUUCUCUCUCAAUGCUCUAUCUCAAUUCCCUUGCUCAUUACACAUUAUUUCUUUUUGGAUGCUUUCUUUAUGCUCCUAGGCAUAUGCCAGUUUUUUAUGACUAUUUUUGAAAUUGGGAUUCGAAAUUCACUAAAAAAAUUUCUCAAACUUGGAUUUUUCUCCAAAACUCAACCCUAACUUCUUUUCUAUCUGUACCAAGGCUAAAGAAUAUAGUUUAUACCCUUGUAUUCUCUCAUGUACCAAGCCCACAAGAUGAUGAAUAAGUUUCUCUCUAGAUUUUACAUUGGAGUUGAUUGAUGACAAUACCCUUAUUAGGCAGUAUAUUCUUUUCCUUAGGUACUAUCUUUUCCUACCUUAGAUACUACCUUUGUCACCUUGGGUGCAUCACCAAAUCCAUUGUUUCAUGGCCACUUCAAGUAAGUCAGGAACUUAUGUACAUGUGUGUUGCAUGUCUUAUAAGUACUAUAUUUACUUUCUUUAGGCACUACUUUUACCUUCCUUAGGUACUAAGAAAAAUAAAGGCUAAUCUUAAUUAGGAAAACACCUAAGAAAAAGGGUGAAUUGAGUCUUUAAAAAUCUUUUUCAAGUACAAACAAAUUCAAGGACAGUAAACACAAAUAUAAAGAAAUAAGAUUAGAGAAAGAAAAUUCAGAUUUUAUAGUGGUUCAGUACUUCCUUACCUACAUUCAUUCUCCUCAAACUCCUAACCGAAUGAGGGUUCCACUAUACGUGAAACUUCAAUCAAGCUUCCAAUCCUUUUACACUUGGAUUCCGGCUCCAAUGGGCUCUUACACAAUCUCUUCAAGUCUUUACUCACUUAAAGGUUCUAACACUCAAAUAACAUAUUUGAAUAUCUCAACGUAACUCAACAAUGGCUCAAAUACUACACAAAUGCUAAGAUGAAUCACAAAGGUGCACUGAGGUGUAUGCAAAUGAAGAUUUGAUGCACCAAAAAAAGAAUGAGAGCUUUUGAGGUAAGAACAAGUAGGUAAACAAAUAAAUGUAGGUAUUCUCUUGCUCAUAAAUGAAGUGGAGCUCUCAAUUUAUAGGUUUCUAACCUCAAGAGCAAAGAAUGCCAAAAAACAGCCUCGAUUUGACUAGACGUUGGGUAAUAAAUGCAUGGCAAGUGAUCAUUAGGCCUCGACUGAUUCUCAAUCGGACAUUGACCGAGAAGAUAAAGCCUCGAUCGAGAAUGCAAGGCUACUGGAAGAGAGUGAAGAUUUUUGUCAUCUCUCAAUCGAGAAAGGGUAACCGAUCAACCAGAACCCUAGCCAAUUGAGCCAGUUGGCCCAAUGCCUCAACCGGUUCACCAUUUUUUGCCCAAAAACUUAUUUUUUUCUGGUUUUCUUUUUUUUUUUUUCUCUUUUAAUACCUAGGCAAGGUCUUUAGGUAAAUGAAUAUGCCAAUUUUGAAACAAUUUGCCUAAGGUUCAUUUCAUAAAACUUGGAUUUCGAUGAAAAUAUAUCUUUAAUGCAUAAAUCAAGUUUUGAAAGAUACAUGAAAAGAUAUAAAAAUCCUAAGUGCACACAUGCAUUCAUCUUACAUAUGUUUCCUAUGAUUAAAGGGUUUUCCAAUUGUCUUUAUCUUGCAUCCAUUGGGUUCUUUGAUGAAUUUUCAAACUAAUACUUGAAAUUCUUUAUAAUUCAAACCAAUUAGCAACUUAAACAUAGUUUGUUAUCAUCAAAACACGAUGAGGAGAACCCUUGGGCUAACAAUCUCUCUCUUUUUUAUGAUGACAAACCUUGGUUAUCUAAGAAAAAAAUAAUAACUUUCUCAAACCAAUCAUGGAUCAAACAAUCAGUAUUUAAGAAUUUAAAAACAAGAUGAUCAAGACAUGUUAAAUUGCAACACAAAACAAUGUAAGUCAUCAAAUAUAUAAGCAUAUCAUAUAUCAUAUGUCAAAUAUAUCAGUCAGUACAUCAUAUGGAAAUAUACAAUCCAAAAAAAAUGAUAUGCAUGUAUGAGUCCUAUGUCUAGCCUCCUAGAUCCUAAAUUAUCUCCCCCUUUGGCAACAUAAAAAAUGAACAAUGAGGGGGUCUCCAACGAAUCAAGGCUGAUGAGGUGGAAGUGGAAACAUGGAACGCAAGUAAGCCAUCAUCUCCUCAUGCUGACACUCCAUGUGAUCCUCCAUGUGAUCAAUCCUCUGUUCCAUGUGAUCCUCAAUGCAAGUAAUCUUUUGCUCCAUGUGAUCUCAAAGAGAUCAAUCCUCUACUAGAGAUACUUAAACUAAAAAGUGAACCCAGUCCAAUACUAGUCCAUCAUAUCCCUCAUAGAUUAAAAUCGUUUGUCAUUGACCACUACAAGUUCCUCCAUGAGAGUGCCAAAAGAGCUAAUCUAGGUUGAUAAGUUCAUCCAUGGAGCAUAGUUAGGAGCAAAAGGUGUUUGAAGAGGUGGUAUCUUAAUAUAGGUAGGGUUGGUGAAUGCAGGUCCAAACAAUGAGGGCUCGGUGUAAGAUGGUUGAGUAAAUGGUCCAUCUCUAAAAUUCGGCUUAGUCAUCCUCGGCUCAAAGAAAGUGGGCUCAAACUAAACACUCCUAGUCUAUGAAAGAAUGUCUGACUUAAGUUGGGGAAUAUCAAGUUUUCGCUAUUUCUGUUGGUGGCCACUCUAAGGGUUUAUGCCAUCUUAAGGGUCUACUCCACCCUUCAUCUCCCUAAUCUCUGCCUCCUCGUCAACUCCAGGGUGUACCUAUCCUUGUGGUUGUCCUCUCUCUGCAUUUUUUUUUAUCCAAAAGCCAUUUGAAGCCUUCUCAAAUUUCAUCAUCCACAUAGACUGAUCAUUAUAUGCGUCAUAGAUACUAGGAGCCUCAAACUAUCUCUUUACUCAAGUUUAUGCCAGCCUUCUUAAAUACCAAGGAGAUGAAAUGUCCAUAAGGGAAUACUCUGGCCAUGCUCUCACAACAAGUAAUCAUAUGCAUCAUCAUUAGAUAUCCCAAAUGAAUCCAUCUCCCAGUGAGGAUCAAAUCUAUCAAGAAAGCCUCAUAAUAGGAGACCUCAUCCC
rnacentral:lncRNA from 1 species